rnacentral:lncRNA from 1 species
GAGCAUCCAGACAAUAAUGCUGAUGCAUGCAAAAGCAUAAAGUACUUGAUGGCCGAAUAUUAGCAGCAAAUAAAGCUCCAAAACAGAGUUCAUACAGUUGGAUAGAUUGGUCAUGAUAGCAAAACUCCUGGUACAACUAAAAGCAACGAUAACAGGCCUACUAAAGUGCAGGUUUCUGGAAUAAGCGAGUUGACAGAUGAGAAGAAUGGCGCCACCAUGCCAAGCAAGUACGCCCGCAGUCAGCCGCAGCCAAAGACACACAUAGGAAGCUACAGCACACCGUCACCACCCCCAUCAGCCUACUUGGAUCGCUGCCUCAUCUUUCGGCGCUUCCUCUUCAGCCUCCUCAUGCGCUUCUUCUUCCACUGAAUCAAGAGAUAAGCCAAGUUAAAAAGGAUACAUGAUCACAUAAAUUAUUCAAUAAAACAAGAAUAGAAGGGUGGCUUCCAGGCAUGCUGUUUGCAAAAAAUAAACCAAGUAAUCCCAUGAACCUCAGUGGUAAACAGAAGUCGGAAGCAACCAAAAGCAAGGCAACAAUCAAUUCAGCUGCCCAAUCCUGAGACAGGUUGUGAACAGUUUAACUGAAAUGCACUGAAAAACUGCAUCUGCUACAACAUGGCAGUUCAACAUUCCAGCUAGUCAAUUAUCUAAUACUGUUCAUCUACUUGGAUGCGGGCAACUAUGUUCAGUAUCACUUGCUAAGGCCAAAAGGAAUGUUCAAUAGCGAGCAGACGAGCAGAUUGUCUGCAACAUAGAAAAUUUAACAAGUCUACUACAACACGCAUUAAACAUGUGGUACUACAGCCAGAUAAGCCAAUUCAUCUUAUUACUUAAAUCAUCAUAACCAAAGAAGAAAUUCGCAGGUUUUGAAACAGUAUGGCGACCACAAAGGACCAACCACUAACGUACAUAAUCAAACACCAACAGAGUACUUCAGCAAAUUGUUAAUUCACAUCCCGAGGGCUCAUAUCAAGUGCAUUCGACCUUCACCGUGGCAGGGAAACCCAAACGAGACAGACGACCCACGCACGCGCGCGCAAGCACGACGACAAGCAACGCGAGCACGGUACGGGAGAACCGGAACACGAGAUACCUAAGCCCACACGAUACAUCGAUCGAUCUAAGGUAACACGAGACAAAACAUGCCCCACCAUCGCCGCCACCGCCACCGCCGACGCAAGCGUCGUCGGGCGGCACCUCGCGUUCCAUCCCUGACCGGCUCGAGUUGCUCGCCCCGUCGCAGCCGCAGCAGAAACGGGGGGCACGAGCACGAGACGGCGAGAUCUGCCGGCUCGCUAGGGUUUCCCAGGAAUUCGAGCCAUUCGAGCCUCUCUCUUUGUAAUCAUAGCCCCCGCUCGGCAAAGAACGAACAAACAAACAAACGAAGGAACAAAACCAUGGCGGUCGUCGCAUGGAUCUAGGGGACGAACGGGAUAGGUGUCCGGGGACUAGAGCGUGUGGAUUGGGAGGUUACCUUGGCCCUCAUGGUCGGUCGCCUCCUCGCGAGAUCUCCUUCUCGCCCCUGCUGCUUCUCCUCCUCCUGCGGCGGCGGCGGCGGUCUUGUGGUGGGGAGUGGGGGGAGUGGGAGAAAGGGAUGCGCACUGGGGGGUUACAAGAAGCGAAACCCUAGGAAGGUAGCUUCGAGAAUAUGGGCCUGGGCUUGUUAGCCGCUCGAAUGCCCACACGCUAUGGGCGUAUUGGGCUGAAGGCAUUCGAGGUAACUCUGCUUUCCUUUCCCUUUAGCGGUUUAGCGGAAGCAACUAGUUAACGAGCGCUUCUUCAGGAGCCUCGCAACGAUCAGCGCCACUUGUCGCGUUCUCAGCCAUUCGUCACGUGUCGUGUUCUGGACGUUUUUUCGGAUUUUAUUUUUUUAUUUUUCCACACGCGUUUUCGGCUUUUAAAUGGUUUUUUCCCGGGUUUUUUUUACGUUUUGGUUUUCCCCCGGUCUUUCUUAGCUUUUCGAUUAAAAAAAAUUCGAAAUUUUUUUUUUGCGCGAAAGAACACGUUUUCUUUUUUUCCUUUCGCAAAAGUCAUGGGGUUUUUUUCCGCGAGAGGUACGGUUGUGCUUUAUCGAGAGUCACGGCCGUGCUUUUCGAAAACGAAAAAAAAAUGUGUUUUCUGUUUUUUUUCUUUUGCGAGAGUCACGGUUUUUCUUCCGCAAGAGGCACGGUUGUGCUUUUGCGAGAGGCACGGCCGUGACUCUCGCAAANNNNNNNNNNNNNNNNNNNNNNNNNNNNNNNNNNNNNNNNNNNNNNNNNNNNNNNNNNNNNNNNNNNNNNNNNNNNNNNNNNNNNNNNNNNNNNNNNNNNNNNNNNNNNNNNNNNNNNNNNNNNNNNNNNNNNNNNNNNNNNNNNNNNNNNNNNNNNNNNNNNNNNNNNNNNNNNNNNNNNNNNNNNNNNNNNNNNNNNNNNNNNNNNNNNNNNNNNNNNNNNNNNNNNNNNNNNNNNNNNNNNNNNNNNNNNNNNNNNNNNNNNNNNNNNNNNNNNNNNNNNNNNNNNNNNNNNNNNNNNNNNNNNNNNNNNNNNNNNCUCGCAAAAGAAAAAAAACAGAAAACACGUUUUUUUUUUCGUUUCCGAAAGGCACGGCCGUGCCUCUCGGAAAGGGAAAAACAAAACGCGUUUUUUGUUUUUUUUCUUUCGUGAGAGUUACGGUUUUGCUUCCGCGAGAGGCAUGGUUGUACUUACGCGAAAGUCACGGCCGUGCCUCUCGGAAAGGGAAAAAAUACGCAUUUUCUUUUUUUUUCUUUCACGAGAGUUACGGUUUUGCUUCCGCAAGAGGCACGGUUGUGCUUUCGCGAGAGUCACAAUCGUGUCUCUCGAAAACGGAAAAAACGCGUUUUCUGUUUUUUUCCUUCCACGAGAGUCACGAUUUUGCUUCCACGAGAGACACGGUUGUGAUUUCGCGAGAGGCACGGGCGUGCCUCUUUUGGAAAGGGAAAAAAACCGUGCUUCCGAUUCGGUUUUUUCGCCCGGUUUUUUUCGUCCGGUUUUUUUCGUGAAAAAAAAGUUCGUCAAAACCUAUCAAAAUGGGACCUAAUUUUAAAGAUCUCGACGCGAGGAAUCCAAUGGUGAAAACGGUUCGAGAUUUGGACGCACGGUUUAAGAGAUAAAACGUUUUGAAUAAACGGAUCUACGAAAAAAGGGAAAACUCCCCGAUUGCGACAAGUGGCGCGCUGCAUGUGCGCCACUUGUCGCGACCUGGGAAAGUGAAGUGUUCUUUGCAACGAGUACUCCUUAAUUAGUGAUUUCGCCCUUUAGCCGCCCCCUCUCUCGCGUGUCAGCUGGGUGUUCGAAAAAAAAACUGAGUGUUCACAUGCACAAUAGCUUUUUUUUCUUAGGACAGCAUUGACGUAGCCUCAAAAAUAAGAAAGAAAGAAAAUCACCAUUGAGGUGGGUGGCUCCGUACAAUCAGGAACGGAGCUCACGUACAACCACUGGUGUCAGUUGACACCAGUGGAGUUCAGCGUUUCAAUUAGCAUGCUUAAUAAAUUUUGUCUUUGACGCCAGCCAGAAAGAUCGAUUGACACCAACCCGGCCGACGGAAAGCCGCUCCACAAACCCAAAAUGCCAGCCCAAUUACAGUCGUGCAAACAAAAAGGCUGACGGGAAGCCCGCAACACGUUAAUAUGAGAGUUAAUAGCAUCCCAGGUACCCUAACUUGCAUAGAAUGUGAUGAUUCAGUUUCAAACUUGCAAAAUUUGACUCCACCAUACCCCAACUUGCACCUCAUGUGAUGAUUUAGUCUCAAGCCAAUCACAACUCGACAAUUGGCAGCUAGGUUGCCGGACCGGUCAGCGCACGCACUUUUGCAGAAACCCCCCCUGCUGUUUUUCCUAUACCCCAACUUGCAACAGCUGUAAAUGGCAACAAUGGUUAGCAACUGACAGAAUGGAAUCACGAUGCAAGACUGGGAAUAUACCAUUUCACAGAAUAGCAUUUACCUGGUUAGUGCUCAUGAGAUACAAGUGAAACACUGAGAGGCCACCAACAAACCAAACCGCGAUAAAUGUGUACUCCAGAGCGAUAGAAGCAGGGGUCUUUGCCAUUGCCUUCCAUAUUGUUAUCUGCUCUGUAGGGCUCCUGGAGGCUUGCGCUCCCGCGCGACGGAGUUGAGCCCGUCGCCACAGCUGCGUCCGGGAAGUGAAGUCUGGUGCACUCACGCAACGGCGUCAAGGAUGCCAUCCACUACAAUGGCAGGUUCUACUCGAUCACAUACUUCGGCGAAGUAGAGGCAUGGGAUGAGUGCGGCGCCGAUGACCCAGGUGUGUUCGCAAGUGUGGUGAUCUCGCCGAGGCUGCCAGCCGACACCGAGCACCGCAAGUACCUAAUGGCGGCGCCGGGCGGGCCGCUGAUGGUCGUGCUCAAGGAGGGUCGGCGGACGUCUCCAUCCUUCAAGGUGCAGGUCCUCGGUGGCGGCGGCAAGGAGUGGAAGGUGACGGACGACAUCGGCGAAACAACGCUCUUCAUUGGGGGGAACGGUUCCUUCUGCGUGUCCACGAGGGAGCACCCGGAGCUCAGGGCCGGCUGCGUCUACUACACCGAGGACGAUCCGGGGCUAUACAAGGAUGCUCGCGACCGCUACUACAAUGGCAUUAAUUGGGGUAUUCACCCUCAAGGAUGGCAGCCGGGAGAAGGUCGAGGGCCUUGCGCUGGUCGCCACCAGUGUGGUUCAUGCCUUCCAUCCCAUUGUGAUGGAUACUGUGACUGAUUUCAUAGCUGUUGGGGUGGGUUAAGUGCUACUAUAUUAUGUGCAUUACUACAGUAUAGAUGCAGCAACAGGCUUAUGAAUCUGAAUUAAUCAAACAAUUCGGCUUGAUUUCCAGUAAAAAGGCUUCAGUAGAAACUUAGGAAACAGUUUGAUUUUCUGCUUCUUCUUUUCGUCUUCCAGAUUGUGGCAUAGUAAACAAAGGUGGCCCUUUUAGGUUGCUUUUUAAGUAUUCUGAUGGAACAAUUUAAUCAGUAUGCAUGACUCAGACUUAAUUUUAUGCUAUGAUGAUUGCAGCUCAUAUUAGUACGUAAUUAUUGCCCGAAGCUUUAAUUUAGAACGUUGGGGUUCGGGCCACCUUUCAUGACUUUUUUUAUGCAUGGCUCAGACCCUUAUUGAAGUAAUUAUUGCAGCUCUUAUUAGUAAGUAAUUAUCUGUUUGGGUGAGGUUUCUGGAUUAACAGGUUUAAUUCAGAACUAAACAGAGGAGAACAGUACUUAUAGCUAGAGAAGACUGUUUGGUUUGCUGGGUUCAUAAUAGCAUUUUGUGUUUGUGUUUUGCCUUUUGAUUGUUUCAAACUGCAACCAAUUCUGGAAUAUGAUCACGGCACUGCAUUUGCCUGCCUUUUGAUUAUCAUGCAGAUUUGAGGUGUGGGGUGUUGAGAGGGUACAUUACAUUUCCAUCCACAUCGGUGGCGUUCAGUUUUGCCUUCUUGUUGAUUAUUGAGAGGAAUCAAAUUGUCUUUUCACCAAUUUCUGUGGUCAUUGGAGUAGCAUCCUCUGCUUUCUCUUACCAGCACUCCAGCAGAGCAUGACUGUUACUGCAUGUUUCUGAAGAUAUACAUGCUGAAGUUUCAGUAACAACUAAGGAGAACAUUUGGAAACAAAAUAUGAUUUAAGAUACACACCAAGUAGCAGGUAACAUCAUAAAUUAGGAUUUUUGUACUAGCUAGUAUGCUGAAGCAGGUUGCAGGGGCCAGAUUUCUACUGCCCCCUGAUAAUGGGUGGCACGAAGCUGCACUUUGAGAUGCAGGGUUGUCCAUUUUUUAGAGUAAAUUAGGAUUAGUUGGACAAUGACCAGAGCUUAGUUAAGGAAAUGUUCUUUAUUAUUUAAGUAUAUGUGGUGCUGCUCAUACAUGUUGGUGCUGGUGCCAUGGGUGAUUUGAGAGCCUGAAUGCCGGCUUACUGCAAUAUCUUUUUGAAGAAAGUGUUUGGGGUUCAGGAGUACCGAAAACGAUUUGUGUUUGUUUCAAACUGCAACCACAGUUUGUUUUUAAUUUUCGAAUGGUCAACGUCGGUUUGUUUGGCUGCCUAUUUGUAUUGCUAUAGGCAAGAGUACAUCCAUCCUCUGCUUUCCACCAGCAUAGAAUCACCCUUACUGAACAUCUCUCAAGAUGUAUUUACAUACUUGGUUAUCAUCAUCAGUAACUAAAGAGAACAGUUGGAUCUUCUUGGAGUUCCAUUGUUGAAUCUCAAACUGCAACACACUAAUCGUUUUUCUUUUCUUUUGUUAAGAAUGAUCGAUCCAAGUUUUGGUCGCUGCUUAUGCAGUGGGCAAUUAAUGGUUCAGUUCACGGCAUGCUUCAGAAUUACUUCCAUGGCUGCAAUGUCAGGCUUGAUCUGUACAUCCUUGGUAUGUAUAUCAAGGAGGAAUACAUGCAGGUCAGGAGCUAAGAAUCGUUUUGUGGGCCGUUCCUUGCCUUUUGUGCUCUUGAUUGAUUAGUUUAUUAGGCUCUAGUCUGAGUGCCGGUAUCCCUUUUUCACUUUUAUUUUUGUUGGUUUUUAUUAUAAUACAGGAAGAUCUGCUGCGCGUAUAAGAGCAAGUACAAUAGAGCUGAGUCAGCUGGCUAUAAAAAAUAAACUAUUAUAUUCUUGCUUAGUUGGAGGAAAAAGAAAAGGAGAGAGAAGAUAAGCGGGCUCUUGAUGAAGAGUCAGCUCUAGCACGUGCUCCUAGGCACUUUGUGAGAGUGAAAAGUGGGCCAUAUAAUAAAAAAGUAAUACACUCUUCUAAUCAACUAUUGUACAUAUUGCCUAUAAGAUGAGCUAUAGAUGACAUGGCAAUGGCUUAUAGCCAGCAGUUGGCUAUACUAUUAACCAUGCUCUAACAAAACGGUAGGGGGUUUCUGCAAAAGUGCGUGCGCUGACCGGUCCAGUCACUUGGCUGCCAAGCUGUGAUUGGCCUGAGACUAAAUCAUCACAUGAUGUGCAAGUUGAAGUAUGGUGGAGGCAAGUUUUGCAAGUUUGAGACUGAAUCAUCACAUUCUGUGCAAGUUAGGGUACCUAUGAUGCUAUUACCUCUUAAUCUAAUAGCUGCGGUUGUGAGUUGUGACAUACGCAGAAGUACGUGCAGGUCGCACCAUCCACACCUAUCCGUCUUUUCGCCGCCUGGUGUUUCUCAACAAAAAAAAGCCUCUCCUCGCCGACUCAAUCCUCAAUUUCGGCAUCCAGAACCAAACCCUAGCAAUCUCAAUCUCUCUCUCACCGCUCGAUGGAACAACACAACUGCGAAGCAAAAACAGCAUGUUUUCAUGCCGGCCAGCCGGCGGCCGCAGCGGCAACAAAACAAUUUUAAUCUAAUAGUCUGCUGAGGAAAGUUCCUGAGUCCAGGUCUCCGGCAAGGUACACCAUGUCUGUACGGACAUAUGUGACCCCUAUACAGAAAUUUCUCACCUUGCCUAUUUUGAAUUUCUCUUCCUUGAUUCAUAUGGGGAUUAUGCAUAUUUUUUUGUUGAAAUGAACUAUAUCACAUGAUGAUUUUGAUUCAACAAAAUUGAUUGAUCUUGGUCAUGAACUUCACAUUUACAUUGAUAAUGUGCGGACAAAUCAAAUAUUUUCCAAUUUGGUUUGUAUUGCUGAGCUUGCUAUAUUGUUCGUGGAUGCCCAGAAGAAUCUUUUUUCUUUGAUUUGGUGCAUCGACUUCUAAAUUUGAUUCUAAUUUUGUUGAUUGUUGGUGAUUUUCAAAAAUUAAUAUUGGCAGCAAUGUUCUACAUAACAAAAUGAGUGAGCGGUUUAUGAGUGAUUGACUGAUUUGCUAAGCAGGAAAAAAAUUCUACCAUUACAAAUGAUGACAUGAUUAAUCUCUUUAAGAAGGUGAAAGGCCAUGAAGGGAAAUUAUAAAAUGUGAGUCUCGAGUCACUUUAAGUUUCGUUUGAUGAUAUUUAUAUUUAGUGUUAUUAGUUAUGUACAAUCGUUGUCAGUGUAAUAUGUUUUGUUUGUUGAUCUUUUGCUCGAAGUUAUAAAUGAAGCUCUCUAUAGUCGUCUUUUUUUAUUUUCUUCUUCUUAUGAAUUUGUAACUGGUUUCUUGCCUUCACUUGGUAUGCAAGCUUUUAAAUAAACAACUAUUAUAUUGUUUGCUAAUUGCAUAUUUUCAUUCUUUGUAUUGUUUUUUUGAAAGUUAUUUAUAUUUCCUGCCAUAAUCCAGUAGUGGGUUGUGGCUGACACCAAUGGCGAUUUUUUCUAGCUUCGUCCCUGCGUACAAUGUUAUUCCUUAAAUUCGUCAUCUUCCAACACCGAGGAAGCACGACGGGUUCGCGGUGGCAAGGCGCACAACUAACUACAUCGCCAAACGGAGCAAACUACGAAGGUGGGGUCCCCCGCCAUCCAACACCGCUAGUGUCCCGAAGGAGCAACAACGUCCAUGGCAGCUGCCUGCUUGAGCUUAGCCACAACAAUCUGUUGGGGAACAUAGCAGAAAUUCAAAAUUUUCUACGCAUAACCAAGAUCAAUUUAUGGAGUAAUCUAGCAACGAGGGGAAGGAGAGUGCAUCUACAUACCCUUGUAGAUCGCUAAGCGGAAGCGUUCAAGUGAACGGGGUUGAUGGAGUCGUACUCGCCGUGAUCCAAAUCACCGAUGAUCCUAGUGCCGAACGGACAGCACCUCCGCGUUCAACACACAUGCAGCCCGGUGACGUCUCCCAUGCCUUGAUCCAGCAAGGAGAGAGGGAGAGGUUGGGGAAGACUCCGUCCAGCAGCAGCACGACGGCGUGGUGGUGGUGGAGGAGCGUGGUACUCCAGCAGGGCUUCGCCAAGCACCGUAAGAGACGAGGAGGGAGAGGGGUAGGGCUGCGCCAAGAAGGAGAUGUUCUCGUAUGUAUGGCAGCCCAAAACCCCACUAUAUAUAGGGGAAAGGGAGGGGCUGCGCCCCCACCUAGGUUUCCACCCCUAGGGGUGGCGGCCAGCCCUAGAUCCCAUCUAGGGGGGCGGCCAAGGGGGGAGAGAGGGGGGCGCACCACUAGGUGGGCCUUAGGCCCAUCUGAGCCUAGGGUUUCCCCUUUUCCCUUCUCUCUUCGCCUUGGGCCCUGGUGGGGGGGCGCACCAGCCCACCUGGGGCUGGUCCCCUCUCACACUUGGCCCUCGUAGCCCUCUGGGGCAGGUAGCCCCACCUGGUGGACCCCCGGGACCCUCCCGGUGGUCCCGGUACGUUACCGAUAGCACCUGAAACUUUUCCGGUGACCAAAACAGGACUUCCCAUAUAUAAAUCUUUACCUCCGGACCAUUCCGGAACUCCUCGUGAUGUCGGGGAUCUCAUCCGAGACUCUGAACAACAUUUGGUAACCACGUAUAUCUAUUCCCUAUAACCCUAGCGUCAUCGAACCUUAAGUGUGUAGACCCUACGGGUUCGGGAACCAUGCAGACAUGACCGAGACACCUCUCUGGCCAAUAAACAACAGCAGGAUCUGGAUACCCAUGUUGGCUCCCACAUGUUCCACGAUGAUCUCAUCGGAUGAACCACGAUGUCGAGGAUUCAAUCAAUCCCGUAUUCAAUUCCCUUUGUCUAGCGGUAUUGUACUUGCCCGAGAUUCGAUCGUCGGUAUCCGAUACCUUGUUCAAUCUCGUUACUGGCAAGUCUCUUUACUCGUUCCAUAACACAUCAUCCCGUGAUCAACUCCUUGGUCACAUUGCGCAUAUGAUGAUGUCCUACCGAGCGGGCCCAGAGAUACCUCUCCGUCACACGGAGUGACAAAUCCCAGUCUCGAUUCGUGCCAACCCAACAGACACUUUCGGAGAUAUCCGUAGUGUACCUUUAUAGCCACCCAGUUACGUUGUGACGUUUGGCACACCCAAAGCAUUCCUACGGUAUCUGAGAGUUGCACAAUCUCAUGGUCUAAGGAAAUGAUACUUGACAUUAGAAAAGCUUUAGCAUACGAACUACACGAUCUUAGUGCUAGGCUUAGGAUUGGAUCUUGUCCAUCACAUGAUUCUCCUAAUGAUGUGAUCCCGUUAUCAACGACAUCCAAUGUCCAUGGUCAGGAAACCGUAACCAUCAAUUGAUCAACGAGCUAGUCAACUAGAGGCUUACUAGGGACAUGGUGUUGUCUAUGUAUUCACACAUGUAUCUGAGUUUCCUAUCAAUACAAUUAUAGCAUGGAUAAUAAACGAUUAUCAUGAACAAGGAAAUAUAAUAAUAACCAAUUUAUUAUUGCCUCUAGGGCAUAUUUCCAACAGUCUCCCACUUGCACUAGAGUCAAUAAUUUAGUUCACAUCGCCAUGUGAUUAACAUUCACAGGUCACAUCGCCAUGUGACCAACAUCCAAAGAGUUUACUAGAGUUCAAUAAUCUAGUUCACAUCACUAUGUGAUUAACACUCAAUGAGUUCUGGGUUUGAUCAUGUUACUUGUGAGAGAGGUUGUAGUCUACGGGCCUGUCACAUUCAGAUCCGUAUGUACUUUGCAAAUUUCUACACUAUAUUUGGAGCCAUUUCAAAUAACGGUUCUACUUGGAGCUAUUCUAAAUUGUUGCUCCAUUAUACGUAUCCGGUAUCUCUACUCAGAGCUAUCCGGAUAGGUGUUAAGCUUGCAUCGACGUAACUCUUUACGUCGAACUCUUUAUCACCUCCAUAACCGAGAAACAUAUCCUUAUUCCUCUAAGGAUAAUUUUGACCGCUAUCUGGUAAUCUACUCCUAGAUCACCUUUGUACCCUCUUGCCAGACAUGUGGCAAGGCACACAUCAGGUGCGGUACUUAGCAUGGCAUACCGUAUAGAGCCUAUGACAAAAGCAUAGGGGACGACCUUCAUCCUUCCUCUUUCUUCUGUCGUGGUCGAGCUUUAAGUCUUAACUUCAUACCUUACAACUCAGGCAAGAACUCCUUCUUUGGCUGAUCCAUCUUGAACACCUUCAAGAUCAUGUCAAGGUAUGUGCUCAUUUGAAAGUACCAUUAAGCGUUUUUUAUCUAUCCUUAUAGAUCUUGAUGCUCAAUGUUCAAGUAGCUUAAUCCAGGUUUUCCAUUGAAAAAACACCUUUCAAACAACCCUAUAUGCUUUCCAGAAAUUCUACAUCAUUUCGGAUCAACAAUAUGUCAUCCACAUAUACUUAUCUGAAAUGUUGUAGUGCUCCCACUCACUUUAUUAUAAAUACAAGUUUCUAACAAACUUUGUAUAAACCCAUAAACUUUGAUUGCUCCAUCAAAGUAUAUAUUCCGACCCCAAGAUGCUUGCUCUAGUCCAUGGAUGGAUCGCUGGAGCUAGCAUACCUUUUAGCAUCCUUAGGAUCGACAAAACCUUUUUGAUUGUAUCACAUACAACCUUUCCUUACGAAAACUGGUAAGGAAACUUGUUUUGACAUCCAUCUGCCAGAUUUCAUAAAUACAGCUUAUGCUAACACGAUUCCGACGGACUUAAGCAUCGCUACGGGUGAGAAAAUCUCAUCGUAGUCAACUUCUUGAACUUGUGAAAAACUCUUCGCCACAAGUCGAGCUUCAUAGACGAUGACAUUACCGUCCACGUCCGUCUUCUUCUUAAAAUCCACAUGUACCUAACAGCCUUACGACCAUCAAGUAGUUCUUCCAAAGUCUACAGUUUGUUUUCAUACAUGGAUCCUCUCUCGGAUUUUAUGGCCUCGAGCCAAUUUUCGGAAUCCGGGCCCACCAUCGCUUCUCCAUAGCUCAUAGGUUCAUCGUUGUCCAACAACGUGACCUUUAAGACAGGGUUACCACUUAGAAGUUGUACACACCCUUGUCAACCCAUGAGGUUCGAAAGUAACUUGAUCUGAAGCUCCAUGAUCAUCAUCAUUAGCUUUCUCUUCAACUGAGGCAGGUGCCACAGAAACAUUUUUCCUGUGCUGCGCUACUCUCUGGUUGAAGUAAAGGUUCAACAACCUUAUCAAGUUCUAUCUUCCUCCCACUCAAUUCUUUCGAGAGAAACUUUUCCUCGAGAAAGGACCCGAUUCGAGAAACAAUCCCUAUUGCUUUCGGAUCUGAGACAGGAGGUAUACCCAACUAUUUUGGGUGUCCUAUGAAGAUGCAUUUAUCCGCUUUGGGUUCGAGCUUAUCGGCCUGAAACUUUUCCACAUAAGCGUUGCAGCCCCAAACUUUUAAGAAAUGACAGCUUAGGUUUCUCUAAACCAUAGUUCAUACGGUGUCAUCUCAUCGGAAUUACGUGGUGCCCUAUUUAAAGUGAAUGUGGUUGUCUCUAAUGCCUAACCCAUAAACUAUCGUGGUAAUUCGAUAAGAGACAUCAUGGUAUGCAUCAUAUCCAAUAGGGUGCAGUUAUGAUGUUCGGACACACCAUCACACUAUGGCGUUCCAGGCUGUAUUAGUUGUGAAACAAUUUCCACAAUGUCUUAAUUCUGUGCCAAACUCAUAAUUCAGAUAUUCAUCUCUAUGAUCAUAUCAUAGAUAUUUUAUCCUCUUGUCACGACGAUCUUCAACUUCACCCUGAAAUUACUUGAACCUUUCAAUAAUUCAGACUCGUGAUUCAUCAAGUAAAUAUACUCAGCAUCUGCUCAAAUCAUCUGUGAAGUAAGAAUAUAAUGAUAUCCACUACAUGCCUCAGCACUCAUUGGACUGCACACAUCAAGAUGUAUUACUUCCAACAAGUUGCUUUCUUGUUCCAUCUUACUGAAAACAAGGCCUUUCAGUCAUCUUGCUCAUGUGGUAUGAUUUGCAUGUCUCAAGUGAUUCAAAAUCAAGCGAGUCCAAAGAUCCAUCAACAUGGAGCUUCUUCAUGCGUUUUAUACCAUUGUGACUAAAAUUGCAGUGCCACAAGUAUGUGGUACUAUCAUUACUAUCUUAUAUCUUUUGGCAUGAACAUGUGUAUCACUACGAUCGGGAUUCAAUAAACCAUUCAUUUUAGGUGUAAGACCAUUGAAGGUAUUAUUCAAAUAAACAGAGUAACCAUUAUUCUCCUUAAAUGAAUAACCGCAUUGCGAUGAACAUAAUCUAAUCAUGUCCAUGCUCAACGCAAACACCAAAUAACAAUUAUUUAGGUUUAACACCAACCCCGAUGGUAGACGGAGCUGCGAUGUUUGAUCACAUCAACCUUGGAAACUCUUCCAACACCUAUCGUCGUCUCACCUUUGGCUAGUCUCCGUUUAUUCUUUAGCCUUUUAUUUCGAGUUACUAACACUUAGCAACCGAACCGGUAUCUAAUACCCUGCUGCUACUAGGAGUACUAGUAAAGUACACAUUUAAUAUAUGUCCAAUACAUACUUCUGUCAACCUUGUCAGCCUUCUCAUCUACCAAGUAUCUAGGGUGGUUCUGCUUCAGUGACCGUUCCCCUUAUUAUAGAAGCACUUAGUCUCGGGCUUGGGUUCAACUUUGGGUUUCUUCACUAGAGCAGCAACUGAUUUGUUGUUUCAUGAAGUAUCCCUUUCUUGCCCUUGCCCUUCUUGAAACUAGUGGUUUUACUAACCAUUAACAAUUGAUGCUCCCUUUUGAUUUCUACUUUCGCGAUGUCGCGAAUAGCUCAAGGAUCAUAUCUAUCCCUGAUAUGUUAUAGUUCAUCACGAAGCUCGAGUAGCUUGGUGACAGUGACUUUGGAGAACCAUCACUAUCUCAUCUGGAAGAUUAACUCCCACUCGAUUCAAGCGAUUGUUGUACUCAUACAAUCUGAGCACAUGAUCAACGAUUGAGCUUUUCUCCUUAGUUUGCAGGCUUAAGAAACUUGUCAAAGGUCUCAUACCUCUAGACGUGGGCACUAGCCUGAAAUCCCAAUUUCAGUCCUUGGAACAUCUCAUAUGUUCUGCGAUGUUUCAAAAACAUCUUUGGUGCCUCAAUUCUAAACCAUUUAGCAUUAUGCACUGAACUAUCAUGUAGUCAUCAAAACGUGUAUGUCAGAUGUUCGCAACAUCCACAACCGACAUUCGUGGGUCAGCUCACCGAGCGGUGCAUUAAGGACAUAAUCCUUCUGCGCAGCAAUGAGGACAAUCCUCUGUUUACGAUCCAGUCCGCAUAAUUGCUACUAUCAACUUUCAACUAAAUUUUCUCUGGGAACAUAUCUAAAAUGGUAGAACUAAAGCGUGAGCUACGACAUAAUUUGCAAAGUCCUUUUGACUAUGUUCAUGAUAAUUGAGUUCAUCUGAUUAUUUCAUGAACUCCCACUCAGAUAGACAUCCCUCUAGUCAUCUAAGUGAUAAAUGAUCCGAAUCGACUAGGCCGUGUCCGAUCAUCACGUGAGACGGACUCGUCAUCAUCGGUGAACAUCUCAUGUUGAUCGCAUCUUCUAUACGACUCAUGUUCGACCUUUCGGUCCUCCGUGUUCCGAGGCCAUGUCUGUACAUGCUAGGCUCGUCAAGUUAACCUAAGUGUUUCACAUGUGUUCCGAGGCCAUGUCUGUACAUGCUAGGCUCGUCAACACCCGUUGUAUUCGAAAGUAAGAAUCUAUCACACCCGGUCAUCACGUGGUGCUUCGAAACGACGAACCUUCGCAACGGUGCACAGUUAGGGAAAACACUUUUCUUGAAAUUUUAGUGAGGGAUCAUCUUAUUUAAGCUACCAUCGUUCUAAGCAAAUAAGAUGUAAAAACAUGAUAAAACAUCACAUGCAAUCAAAUAGUGACAUGAUAUGGCCAUCAUCACUUUGCUCCUUUUGAUCUCCAUCUUCGGGGCUCCAUGAUCAUCAUCGUCACCGGCAUGACACCAUGAUCUCCAUCAUCAUGAUCUCCAUCAUCGUGUCUUCAUGAAGUUGUCUCGCCAACUAUUACUUCUACUACUACAGCUAACGGUUAGCAAUAAAGUAAAGUAAUUACAUGACGUUUAUGUUGACACACAGGUCAUAAAUAAAUCAAGACAACUCCUAUGGUUCCUGCCGGUUGUCAUACUCAUCGACAUGCAAGUCGUGAUUCCUAUUACAAGAACAUAAUCAAUCUCAUACAUCACAUAUAUCAUUCAUCACAUCCUUUUGGCCAUAUCACAUCACAAGGCAUAUGCUGCAAAAACAAGUUAGACGUCCUCUAAUUGUUGUUGCAAGUUUUUACGUGGCUGCUAUAGGUUUCUAGCAAGAACGUUUCUUACCUACGCGAAAACCACAACGUGAUAUGCCAAUUUCUAUUUACCCUUCAUAAGGACCCUUUUCAUCGAAUCCGAUCCGACUAAAGUGGGAGAGACAGACACCCGCCAGCCACCUUAUGAAACUAGUGCAUGUCAGUCGGUGGAACCGGUCUCACCUAAGCGUACGUGUAAGGUUGGUCCGGGCCGCUUCAUCCCACAAUGCCGCCGAAUCAAGAUAAGACUAGUAAUGGCAAGUAAAUUGACAAAAUCGACGCCCACAACUACUUUGUGUUCUACCCGUGCAUAGAAACUACGCAUAGACCUAGCUCAUGAUGCCACUGUUGGGGAACGUAGCAGAAAUUCAAAGUUUUCUACGCAUCACCAAGAUCAAUCUAGCAACGAGGGGAAGGAGAGUGCAUCUACAUACCCUUGUAGAUCGCUAAGCUGAAGCGUUCAAGUGAACGGGGUUGAUGGAGUCGUACUCGCCGUGAUCCAAAUCACCGAUGAUCCUAGUGCCGAACGGACGACACCUCCGCGUUCAACACACAUGCAGCCCGGUGACGUCUCCCAUGCCUUGAUCCAGCAAGGAGAGAGGGAGAGGUUGGGGAAGACUCCGUCCAGCAGCACAACGGCGUGGUGGUGGUGGAGGAGCGUGGUACUCCAGCAGGGCUUCGCCAAGCACCGUAAGAGACGAGGAGGGAGAGGGGUAGGGCUGCGCCAAGAAGGAGAUGUUCUCGUAUGUAUGGCAGCCCAAAACCCCACUAUAUAUAGGGGAAAGGGAGGGGCUGCGCCCCCACCUAGGUUUCCACCCCUAGGGGUGGCGGCUAGCCCUAGAUCCCAUCUAGGGGGGCGGCCAAGGGGGAAGAGAGGGGGGGUGCACCACUAGGUGGGCCUUAGGCCCAUCUGAGCCUAGGGUUUCCCCUUUUCCCUUCUCUCUUCGCCUUGGGCCCUGGUGGGGGCGCACUAGCCCACCUGGGGCUGGUCCCCUCUCACACUUGGCCCACGCAGCCCUCUGGGGCAGGUAGCCCCACCUGGUGGACCCCCAGGACCCUCCCGGUGGUCCCGGUACGUUACCGAUAGCACCUGAAACUUUUCCGGUGACCAAAACAGGACUUCCCAUAUAUAAAUCUUUACCUUCGGACCAUUCCGGAACUCCUCGUGAUGUCCGGGAUCUCAUCUGGGACUCCGAACAACAUUCGGUAACCACGUAUAUCUAUUCCCUAUAACCCUAGCGUCAUCGAACCUUAAGUGUGUAGACCCUACGGGUUCGGGAACCAUGCAGACAUGACCGAGACACCUCUCUGGCCAAUAACCAACAGCGGGAUCUGGAUACCCAUGUUGGCUCCUACAUGUUCCACGUGUAGGGGAACGUAGUAAUUUCAAAAAAAUUCCUACGCACACACAAGAUCAUGGUGAUGCACAGCAACGAGAGGGGAGAGUGUUGUCUACGUACCAACGCAGACUGACUGCGGAAGCGAUCACACAACGUAGAGGAAGUAGUCGUACGUUUUCCCGAUCCGACCGAUCCAAGCACCGUUACUCCGGCACCUCCGAGUUCUUAGCACACGUACAGCUCGAUGACGAUCCCCGGGCUCCGAUCCAGCAAAGCGUCAGGGAAGAGUUCCGUCAGCACGACGGCGCGGUGACGAUCUUGAUGUUCUACCGUCGCAGGGCUUCGCCUAAGCGCCGCUACAAUAUGAUCGAGGUGGAAUAUGGUGGCAGGGGGCACCGCACACGGUUAUGGAACGAUCACGGGGAUCAAUUGUGUGUCUAGAGGUGCCCCUGCCCCUGUAUAUAAAGGAGCAAGGGGAGAGAGGUGCGGCCAGCCUUGGGGCGCGCCACGAGGAGUCCUACUCCCUCUGGGAGUAGGAUUCCCCCCCAAUCCUAGUUGGAAUAGGAAUCCUCAAGGGGGGAAAGAGAGAGAGGGGGGCCGGCCACCUUGGGCUGCCCCUUUCUCCUUUCCACUAAGGCCCAUGAAGGCCCAUAUGGCUCCCGGGGGGUUCCGGUAACCUCCCGGUACUCCGGUAAAAUCCCGAUUUCACCCGGAACACUUCCGAUAUCCAAAUAUAGGCUUCCAAUAUAUCAAUCUUUAUGUCUCGACCAUUUUGAGACUCCUCGUCAUGUCCGUGAUCACAUCCAGGACUCCGAACAACCUUCGGUACAUCAAAAUGCAUAAACUCAUAAUAACUGUCAUCGUAACGUUAAGCGUGCGGACCCUACGGUUCGAGAACAAUGUAGACAUGACCGGGACACGUCUCCGGUCAAUAACCAAUAGCGGGACCUGGAUGCCCAUAUUGGCUCCUACAUAUUCUAUGAAGAUCUUUAUCGGUCAGAUCGCAUAACAACAUACAUUGUUCCCUUUGUCAUCGGUAUGUUACUUGCCCGAGAUUCGAUCGUCGGUAUCCAAUACCUAGUUCAAUCUCGUUACCGGCAAGUCUCUUUACUCGUUUUGUAAUACAUCAUCCGGCUACUAACUCAUUAGUUGCAAUGCUUGCAAGGCUUAUGUGAUGUGCAUUACCGAGAGGGCCCCAGAGAUACCUCUCCGACAAUCGGAGUGACAAAUCCUAAUCUCGAAAUACGCCAACCCAACAUCUACCUUUGGAGACACCUGUAGAGCUCCUUUAUAAUCACCCAUUUACGUUGUGACGUUUGGUAGCACACAAAGUGUUCCUCCGGUAAAUGGGAGUUGCAUAAUCUCAUAGUCAUAGGAACAUGUAUAAGUCAUGAAGAAAAGCAAUAGCAACAUACUAAACGAUCGGGUGCUAAGCUAAUGGAAUGGGUCAUGUCAAUCAGAUCAUUCAACUAAUGAUGUGACCUCGUUAAUCAAAUAACAACUCUUUGUUCAUGGUUAGGAAACAUAACCAUCUUUGAUUAACGAGCUAGUCAAGUAGAGGCAUACUAGUGACACUCUGUUUGUCUAUGUAUUCACACAUGUAUUAUGUUUCCGGUUAAUACAAUUCUAGCAUGAAUAAUAAACAUUUAUCAUGAUAUAAGGAAAUAAAUAAUAACUUUUAUUAUUGCCUCUAGGGCAUAUUUCCUUCAGUCUCCCACUUGCACUAGAGUCAAUAAUCUAGAUUACACUGUAAUGAUUCUAACACCCAUGGAGCUUUGGUGCUGAUUAUGUUUUGCUCGUGGAAGAGGCUUAGUCAACGGGUCUGCAACAUUCAGAUUCGUAUGUAUCUUGCGAAUCUCUAUGUCUCCCACCUGGACUAGAUCCCGAAUGGAAUUGAAGCGUCUCUUGAUGUGUUUGGUCCUUUUGUGAAAUCUGGAUUCCUUUGCCAAGGCAAUUGCACCAGUAUUGUCACAAAAGAUUUUCAUUGGACCCGAUGCACUAGGUAUGACACCUAGAUCGGAUAUGAACUCCUUCAUCCAGACUCCUUCGUUCGUUGCUUCCGAAGCAGCUUUGUACUCCGCUUCACAUGUAGAUCCCGCUACGACGCUUUGUUUAGAACUGCACCAACUGACAGCUCCACCGUUUAAUGUAAACACGUAUCCGGUUUGCGAUUUAGAAUCGUCCGGAUCAGUGUCAAAGCUUACAUCAACGUAACCUUUUACGGUGAGCUCUUUGUCACCUCCAUAUACGAGAAACAUAUCCUUAGUCCUUUUCAGGUAUUUCAGGAUGUUCUUGACCGCUGUCCAGUGAUCCACUCCUGGAUUACUUUGGUACCUCCCUGCUAAACUUAUAGCAAGGCACACAUCAGGUCUGGUACACAGCAUUGCAUACAUGAUAGAGCCUAUGGCUGAAAUAUAGGGAACAUCUUUCAUUUUCUCUCUAUCUUCUGCAGUGGUCGGGCAUUGAGUCUGACUCAACUUCACACCUUGUAACACAGGCAAGAACCCUUUCUUUGCUUGAUCCAUUUUGAACUUCUUCAAAAUCUUGUCAAGGUAUGUGCUUUGUGAAAGUCCAAUUAAGCGUCUCGAUCUAUCUCUAUAGAUCUUUAUGCCUAAUAUGUAAGCAGCUUCACCGAGGUCUUUCAUUGAAAAACUCUUAUUCAAGUAUCCCUUUAUGCUAUCCAGAAAUUCUAUAUCAUUUCCAAUCAGCAAUAUGUCAUCCACAUAUAAUAUCAGAAAUGCUACAGAGCUCCCACUCACUUUCUUGUAAAUACAGGCUUCUCCGAAAGUCUGUAUAAAACCAAAUGCUUUGAUCACAUUAUCAAAACGUUUAUUCCAACUCCGAGAGGCUUGCACCAGUCCAUAAAUGGAUCGCUGGAGCUUGCACACUUUGUUAGCUCCCUUUGGAUCGACAAAACCUUCCGGUUGCAUCAUAUACAACUCUUCUUCCAGAAAUCCAUUCAGGAAUGCAGUUUUGACAUCCAUCUGCCAAAUUUCAUAAUCAUAAAAUGCGGCAAUUGCUAACAUGAUUCAGACAGACUUAAGCAUCGCUACGGGUGAGAAGGUCUCAUCGUAGUCAACCCCUUGAACUUGUCGAAAACCUUUUGCGACAAGUCGAGCUUUGUAGACAGUAACAUUACCAUCAGCGUCAGUCUUCUUCUUGAAGAUCCAUUUAUUCUCAAUUGCUUGCCGAUCAUCGGGCAAGUCAACCAAAGUCCAUACUUUGUUCUCAUACAUGGAUCCCAUCUCAGAUUUCAUGGCUUCAAGCCACUUUGCGCAAUAUGGGCUCACCAUCGCUUCUUCAUAGUUCGUAGGUUCAUCAUGAUCUAGUAGCAUGAUUUCCAGAACAGGAUUACCGUACCACUCUGGCGCGGAUCUUACUCUGGUUGAUCUACGAGGUUCAGUAGUAUAUUGAUCUGAAGUUUCAUGAUCAUCAUCAUUAGCUUCCUCACUUAUUGGUGUAGGUGUCGCAGAAACAGUUUUCUGUGAUAUACUACUUUCCAAUAAAGGAGCAGGUACAGUUACCUCGUCAACUUCUACUUUCCUCCCACUCACUUCUUUCAAGAGAAACUCCUUCUCUAAAAAGGAUCCAUACUUAGCAACGAAUGUCUUGCCUUCGGAUCUGUGAUAGAAGGUGUACCCAACAGUCUCCUUUGGGUAUCCUAUGAAGACACAUUUCUCCGAUUUGGGUUCGAGCUUAUCAGGUUGAAGCUUUUUCACAUAAGCAUCGCAGCCCCAAACUUUAAGAAACGACAACUUUGGUUUCUUGCCAAACCACAGUUCAUAAGGCGUCGUCUCAACGGAUUUUGAUGGUGCCCUAUUUAACGUGAAUGCGGCCGUCUCUAAAGCAUAACCCCAAAACGAUAGCGGUAAAUUAGUAAGAGACAUCAUAGAUCGCACCAUAUCUAGUAAAGUACGAUUACGACGUUUGGACACACCAUUACACUGUGGUGUUCCGGGUGGCGUGAGUUGCGAAACUAUUCCACAAUUUUUCAAAUGUACACCAAACUCAUAACUCAAAUAUUCUACUCCAUGAUCAGAUCGUAGAAACUUUAUUUUCUUGUUACGAUGAUUUUCAACUUCACUCUGAAAUUCUUUGAACUUUUCAAAUGUUUCAGAUUUAUGUUUCAUUAAGUAGAUAUACCCAUAUCUGCUUAAAUCAUCUGUGAAGGUGAGAAAAUAACGAUACCCGCCACAAGCCUCAAUAUUCAUCGGACCACAUACAUCGGUAUGUAUGAUUUCCAACAAAUCUGUUGCUCUCUCCAUAGUACCGGAGAACGGUGUUUUAGUCAUCUUGCCCAUGAGGCAUGGUUCGCAAGUACCAAGUGAUUCAUAAUCAAGUGGUUCCAAAAGUCCAUCAGUAUGGAGUUUCUUCAUGCGCUUUACACCGAUAUGACCUAAACGACUGUGCCACAAAUAAGCUGCACUUUCAUUAUCAACUCUGUAUCUUUUGGCUUCAACAUUAUGAAUAUGUGUAUCACUACUAUCGAGAUUCAUCAAAAAUAGACCACUCUUCAAAGGUGCAUGACCAUAAAAGAUAUUACUCAUAUAAAUAGAACAACCAUUAUUCUCUGAUUUAAAUGAAUAACCGUCUCGCAUCAAACAAGAUCCAGAUAUAAUGUUCAUGCUCAAUGCUGGCACCAAAUAACAAUUAUUUAGGUCUAAUAUUAAUCCCGAAGGUAGAUGUAGAGGUAGCGUGCCGACCGCGAUCACAUCGACUUUGGAACCGUUUCCCACGCGCAUCGUCACCUCGUCCUUUGCCAGUGCCCGCUUAUUCCGUAGUCCAUGUUUCGAGUUGCAAAUAUUAGCAACAGAACCAGUAUCAAAUACCCAGGUGCUACUGCGAGCUCUAGUAAGGUACACAUCAAUAACAUGUAUAUCACAUAUACCUUUGUUCACCUUGUCAUCCUUCUUAUCCGCCAAAUACUUGGGGCAGUUCCGCUUCCAGUGACCAGUCUGCUUGCAGUAGAAGCACUCAGUUUCAGGCUUAGGUCCAGACUUGGGUUUCUUCUCCUGAGCAGCAACUUGCUUGCUGUUCUUCUUGAAGUUCCCCUUCUUCUUCCCUUUGCCUUUUUUCUUGAAACUAGUGGUCUUGUUAACCAUCAACACUUGAUGCUCCUUCUUGAUUUCUACCUCCGCAGCUUUCAGCAUUGCGAAGAGCUCGGGAAUAGUCUUGUUCAUCCCUUGCAUAUUAUAGUUCAUCACGAAGCUCUUGUAGCUUGGUGGCAGUGAUUGGAGAAUUCUGUCAAUGACGCAAUCAUCCGGAAGAUUAACUCCCAAUUGAAUCAAGUGAUUAUUAUACCCAGACAUGUUGAGUAUAUGCUCACUGACAGAACUGUUCUCCUCCAUCUUGCAGCUAUAGAAUUUAUUGGAGACUUCAUAUCUCUCAAUCCGGGCAUUUGCUUGAAAUAUUAACUUCAACCCCUGGAACAUCUCAUAUGCUCCAUGACGUUCAAAACGUCGUUGAAGUCCCGAUUCUAAGCCAUAAAGCAUGGCACACUGAACUAUCGAGUAGUCAUCAGCUUUGCUCUGCCAGACGUUCAUAACAUCUGGUGUUGCUCCAGCAGCAGGCCUAGCACCCAGCGGUGCUUCUAGGACGUAAUUCUUCUGAGCAGCAAUGAGGAUAAUCCUCAAGUUACGGACCCACUCCGUGUAAUUGCUACCAUCAUCUUUCAACUUUGCUUUCUCAAGGAACGCAUUAAAAUUCAACGGAACAACAGCACGAGCCAUCUAUCUACAAUCAACAUAAACAAGCAAGAUACUAUCAGGUACUAAGUUCAUGAUAAGUUUAAGUUCAAUUAAUCAAAUUACUUAAGAACUCCCACUUAGAUAGACAUCCCUCUAAUCCUCUAAGUGAUCACGUGAUCCAAAUCAACUAAACCAUAACCGAUCAUCACGUGAGAUGGAGUAGUUUUCAAUGGUGAACAUCGUUUAUGUUGAUCAUAUCUACUAUAUGAUUCACGCUCGACCUUUCGGUCUCCGUGUUCCGAGGCCAUAUCUGCAUAUGCUAGGCUCGUCAAGUUUAACCUGAGUAUUCUGCGUGUGCAAAACUGGCUUGCACCCGUUGUAGAUGGACGUAGAGCUUAUCACACCCGAUCAUCACGUGGUGUCUGGGCACGCCGAACUUUGGCAACGGUGCAUACUCAGGGAGAACACUUCUUGAUAAUUUAGUGAGAGAUCAUCUUAUAAUGCUACCGUCAAUCAAAGCAAGAUAAGAUGCAUAAAAAGAUAAACAUCACAUGCAAUCAAUAUAAGUGAUAUGAUAUGGCCAUCAUCAUCUUGUGCUUGUGAUCUCCAUCUCUGAAGCACCGUCAUGAUCACCAUCGUCACCGGCGCGACACCUUGAUCUCCAUCGUAGCAUCGUUGUCGUCUCGCCAAUCUUAUGCUUCCACGACUAUCGCUACCGCUUAGUGAUAAAGUAAAGCAUUACAUCGCGAUUGCAUUGCAUACAAUAAAGCGACAACCAUAUGGCUCCUGCCAGUUGCCGAUAACUCGGUUACAAAACAUGAUCAUCUCAUACAAUAAAAUUCAUCAUCAUGCCUUGACCAUAUCACAUCACAACAUGCCCUACAAAAACAAGUUAGACGUCCUCUACUUUGUUGUUUGCAAGUUUUACGUGGCUGCUACGGGCUUAAGCAAGAACCAAUCUCACCUACGCAUCAAAACCACAACGAUAGUUUGUCAAAUAGACUCCGUUUUAACCUUCGCAAGGACCGGGCGUAGCCACACUCGGUUCAACUAAAAUUGGAGAGACAGUCGCCCGCAAGCCACCUAUGUGCAAAGCACGUCGGGGAAACCGGUCUCGCGUAAGCGUACGCGUAAUGUUGGUCCGGGUCGUCUCGUCCAACAAUACCGCUGAACCAAAGUAUGACAUGCUGGUAGGCAGUAUGACUUAUAUCGCCCACAACUCACUUGUGUUCUACUCGUGCAUAUAACAUCAAACCAUAAAACCAAGCUCGGAUACCACUGUAGGGGAACGUAGUAAUUUCAAAAAAAUUCCUACGCACAUGCAAGAUCAUGGUGAUGCACAGCAACGAGAGGGGAGAGUGUUGUCUAUGUACCAACGCAGACCGACUGCGGAAGCGAUCACACAACAUAGAGGAAGUAGUCGUACGUUUUCCCGAUCCGACCGAUCCAAGCACCGUUACUCCGGCACCUCCGAGUUCUUAGCACACGUACAACUCGAUGACGAUCCCCGGGCUCCGAUCCAGCAAAGCGUCGGGGAAGAGUUCCGUCAGCACGACGGCGCGGUGACGAUCUUGAUGUUCUACCGUCGCAGGGCUUCGCCUAAGCGCCGCUACAAUAUGAUCGAGGUGGAAUAUGGUGGCAGGGGGCACCGCACACGCUUAUGGAACGAUCAUGGGGAUCAAUUGUGUGUCUAGAGGUGCCCCCUGCCCCUGUAUAUAAAGGAGCAAGGGGGGAGAGGUGCGGCCAGCCUUGGGGCGCGCCAGGAGGAGUCCUACUCCCUCUGGGAGUAGGAUUCCCCCCCCCCCAAUCCUAGUUGGAAUAGGAAUCCUCAAGGGGGGGAAGAGAGAGAGGGGGGCCGGCCACCUCUCCUAGUCCUAAUAGGACUAGGGGAGGGGGGAGGCGCGCGGCCACCUUGGGCUGCCCCUUUCUCCUUUCCACUAAGGCCCAUGAAGGCCCAUAUGGCUCCCGGGGGGUUCCGGUAACCUCCCGGUACUCCGGUAAAAUCCCGAUUUCACCCGAAACACUUCCGAUAUCCAAAUAUAGGCUUCCAAUAUAUCAAUCUUUAUGUCUUGACCAUUUCGAGACUCAUCGUCAUGUCCGUGAUCACAUCCGGGACUCCGAACAACCUUCGGUACAUCAAAAUGCAUAAACUCGUAAUAACUGUCAUCGUAACGUUAAGCGUGCGGACCCUACGGUUCGAGAACAAUGUAGACAUGACCGAGACACGUCUCCGGUCAAUAACCAAUAGCGGGACCUGGAUGCCCAUAUUGGCUCCUACAUAUUCUACGAAGAUCUUUAUCGGUCAGAUCACAUAACAACAUACGUUGUUCCCUUUGUCAUCGGUAUGUUACUUGCCCGAGAUUCGAUCGUCGGUAUCCAAUACCUAGUUCAAUCUCGUUACCGGCAAGUCUCUUUACUCGUUCUGUAAUACAUCAUCCUGCUACUAACUCAUUAGUUGCAAUGCUUGCAAGGCUUAUGUGAUGUGCAUUACCGAGAGGGCCCCAGAGAUACCUCUCCGACAAUCGGAGUGACAAAUCCUAAUCUCGAAAUACGCCAACCCAACAUCUACCUUUGGAGACACCUGUAGAGCUCCUUUAUAAUCACCCAUUUACGUUGUGACGUUUGGUAGCACACAAAGUGUUCCUCCGGUAAACGGGAGUUGCAUAAUCUCAUAGUCAUAGGAACAUGUAUAAGUCAUGAAGAAAAGCAAUAGCAACAUACUAAACAAUCGGGUGCUAAGCUAAUGGAAUGGGUCAUGUCAAUCAGAUCAUUCAACUAAUGAUGUGACCUCGUUAAUCAAAUAACAACUCUUUGUUCAUGGUUAGGAAACAUAACCAUCUUUGAUUAACGAGCUAGUCAAGUAGAGGCAUACUAGUGACACUCUGUUUGUCUAUGUAUUCACACAUGUAUUAUGUUUCCGGUUAAUACAAUUCUAGCAUGAAUAAUAAAUAUUUAUCAUGAUAUAAGGAAAUAAAUAAUAACUUUUAUUAUUGCCUCUAGGGCAUAUUUCCUUCACCACGAUGAUCUCAUCGGAUGAACCACGAUGUUGAGGAUUCAAUCAAUCCCGUAUUCAAUUCCCUUUGUCUAGCAGUAUUGUACUUGCCCGAGAUCCGAUCGUCGGUAUCUGAUACCUUGUUCAAUCUCGUUACUGGCAAGUCUCUUUACUCAUUCCGUAACACAUCAUCCUGUGAUCAACUCCUUGGUCACAUUGCGCAUAUGAUGAUGUCCUACCGAGUGGGCCCAGAGAUACCUCUCCGUCACACGGAGUGACAAAUCCCAGUCUCGAUUCGUACCAACCCAACAGACACUUUCGUAGAUACCCGUAGUGUACCUUUAUAGCCACCCAGUUACGUUGUGACGUUUGGCACACCCAAAGCAUUCCUACGGUAUCCGGGAGUUGCACAAUCUCAUGGUCUAAGGAAAUGAUACUUGACAUUAGAAAAGCUUUAGCAUACGAACUACACGAUCUUUAUGCUAGGCUUAGGAUUGGGUCUGGUCCAUCACAUGAUUCUCCUAAUAAUGUGAUCCCGUUAUCAACGACAUCCAAUGUCCAUGGUCAGGAAACCGUAACCAUCAAUUGAUCAACGAGCUAGUAAACUAGAGGCUUACUAGGGACAUGGUGUUGUCUAUGUAUCCACACAUGUAUCUGAGUUUCCUAUCAAUACAAUUAUAGCAUGGAUAAUAAACGAUUAUCAUGAACAAGGAAAUAUAAUAAUAACCAAUUUAUUAUUGCCUCUAGGGCAUAUUUCCAACACAAUCGCGACGUCACGAAAAUAGUUCUUGCAACAUGAUUUUUGUUAAAAAAAUCCACAACAUGGUCUUUGUUACAAAAAAUAUGCAGUCGUUUCGCAACAAGAUCUCUAUUACAAAAAAAUGGCAACAUGAUUUGUGGCGAAAAAAACUUCGAGACGCUUAUGCAACAUGGUCUCUGUUGAAAAAAAUGGAACAUAACCUCUGCUGCAACACAAUCUAUAUUGCAAAUGUUUCUGCAAUAUUAGCACAGUUGCAGUGGUGGUCGCCGUCAGCCACCUGAGGGCUCACGACCUGGCGGGUCUUUUAAAAAGAUCAGUCGAUGGCCGCGUACUACACCCUGUAAAAUUCCGUCGAUCUACUCUCGUCGCAUUUUCUCUACUUCUAAUGUCUCAGUUGGUUGAAUAGUACCACUGUUUAUUUUCGUCUGGUUAUAUUUCGUCAGGUUUAUUUUUGUCUGGUUUAUCUUUGUCUCACAUCCCACCACCAUAUCUCCUCACGUUGAUUUUUUUACCCUCACAAUAAAAACUUUCCUAACCUUUUCAAAGUUUCCUAACUAGACACGUUAUAAACGGACAGGAACCGAUAGCACGUUACCAAUAAAAACUUUCCUAACCUUUUCACCUUUCCUAACUAUCCAUGUUACAAACCGGCAGGAACCAAUAGCAUGACCAAACAAUAAAAUCCAGUUUUCUGGUAAUUAAUUCCAAAUCUCAAUUUUCCUAACGCAACGAUUCGUACUCUCCUAGCAAUUAAGUAGAGUAUGCGGUGACAAUUUGUCUCGUUUUUUUCCUAUCCAUCCCAAAAAAUCAACAUUCAACCUACCGUGUUUCUGUAUGGAAGAUAUCCUAGACAAAUAGGACGUGAUCGUAGUCUGAUUUGAUUGCACAUGACGCGGCACACUUCAUAAAAGGAGCGUCGCACGCAUUCCCCGCCAGACUUCAUGGCGCCUCCCGUCCUCCAUGUCUACUGCCAGACCACGCAAUACCUUCUCCCAUUCUCCAGCGGUUCCGCAUCCCUGCAACACCAACAGGCUCGCAGCCUCCCAGUCGAUGAUCCUCCGUCAUAGUUUUCGACCCCUCCUUGCACCCCGCCAGCGCAACACCCGCUGCCCCGCUUGCACAUGUCGGCGUUGGUUAGCAUCUAUCUCGCUUAUCCCGGGGCGGAGCUCGCCCCAUCGUUGUCGGUGCCAUGGCCAUCUUGCACAUGGAGCCACCUCCGCCGCCAUCCACCAGCGUCGACGACGAGCGCGACCCCGAGUACUGAGAGGCUAUGCGAGGGCGAUGAGGCCGAAGAGUCCAAGUUUGUCCCUUGGCCGCCACCCUUCCUCUCGCACGCGACCACUGCACCAUCUCGCUUGCACGAGCACGACAACCCCCGCUACCAUCCCUCGAACGACGCCCUAUCCUCGCCUCCGGCUGUCUCCUGAAUCCCCCCACCAUGCCGCCUCACCUCGCCUACUCACUUGCACCUGGCAACCGCCGACGCCGGAUCUCGUCUCCAUGGUCAGCGUCGUCGGUCACCUCCCGCUGCCCAGCCACUUCCAUCUUCUCAAAGAAGCCGCCAGUCCUCCAUCUUCUCAAAGAAGCCAAUGGCACUUGGCUCUUGCUGCCGAGUACGCACCUCCCCAUGUCCGGCCGGUGGCAGCAUGUCGAAUUGGUCGCCAUACCACCGAGUAGCCAAUGGUAACUGCCUGGAGUGCCUUUCUUUGCCCGAAGAUCUCAUUUCCGAUCUGGAUUCCAGCAACUAUGGGGCACAAUAAUCGCCGCUUUUGUCUGCAUAACCUUGCCAUUAAUCCAAGUAAGCACUCCUUUUUUGCUUGUUAUAUGUACCAUGUGAUAGUUGCUUGAUUGCUUUUGUUGUUGUUGGCAUUGGUUAUCAUGGGAGAGUUGGAGAGAGCACAUGGAUAAGCAGCUCGCCCGCUUCCUGAACCAAACUUUUGAUUUUGAAUGAACAGUUGUUCUCUGUUCUCAGGCUUUCUUUUGAUUUUAGGUCUGUAUGUAUGAAUAGUAGUGUUUGCUCGAUGCUGAUUGGUAUAAGGACUAAAGGAUGUAUGUAGCUUUUUUAUCUGUCGGACAAUUGGAUGUUUCACACUAACAUAAUUGAGUGAGUCUUGGUAUUCAGGACAAAGUUAUUAACAAAGGUUGACUUAGCUAGGUCCUGCAGAUGCAAAAUACAGUAUGCGAGACGAUUAGAUUAUCAUUUUUUUUCAAAAGGGGGAGAUCCCCGGCCUCUGCAUCAGAAUGAUGCAUACGGCCACAUUUAUUAUGAAGUAAAUCAGUUCAACAAAGGUCUCAAAGUCUCAAGCAAAAGAACAAAAGAUGCUCAUAAAGAGCUAAAGAGUACAAAUAAAGCCACAACCGGCUGGCAAAAGAAAGAUAGGAAAACUAAUUGACUAUCUUAUUACAUGACCGCCAUCCAAACCGGUUGAAAAUAGCCCGUGCUACCAUCUCCCAUCGGAUAGAUCCAGUAACCAAACGCUCCCUGGCCUCCGUCGGAGUGAGUAGCGACCACAUACGGAUCAACGCAGUGGCACGGAAGGUAACCUGCAAAAAAUGAGUAUUUGUUAUUCUGUUAGAGACCAAAUCAUUUCUGCAAUUCCAGAUAGCCUAUAAUAAAGCACAUACUCCUACACGAAUAUGUCUCGCUGUUUCGGAAUCUAUCCCAUCAAGCCACGUCCCAAAUAACAUGUUGAUAUUAUUCGGAGGAGCAAUAUUAAAGGCUAUGUGAACUGACCGCCACAAAAUUUUUGCCAACGGGCAAUCAAGAAAGAGGUGUCUGAUGGAUUCAUCCCGAUCACAAAAACUACAUCUAGUAGAUCCAGUCCAGUUGCGUUUUACCAAGUUAUCCUUAGUUAAAAUGACUUGUUUGUGUACAAACCACAAAAACACUUUAACUCUCAAGGGUACUUUGACAUACCAAACAUGUUUCGAAGUAGGAAUAGAGCUAGAAUUAAUAACAUCCAGAUACAUGGAUUUAACCAUAAACUCUUCAUUCCUAGUUAGCUUCCAACACAACUGAUCGGGUCAUUGAUAAAGCUGAACAUCCAUCAAUCUUCUCACAAGAUGGAGUCAAGCUUCCCAACGGUUUCCGGCUAGCGCUCUCCUCAAGUGAAUAUUGAGAGGCGUGGACUGAAACACUGUCUCAACGGAUGCGUCUCUCUGUUGAACAAUGCUAUAAAGAGAAGGAUAUUGAAGCGGGAGGGGUGUGUCCUGAAGGAAAUAUGCCCUAGAGGAAAUAAUAAAGUUAUUAUUUAUUUCCUUAUUUCAUGAUAAAUGUUUAUUAUUCAUGCUAGAAUUGUAUUAACCGGAAACAUAAUACAUGUGUGAAUACAUAGACAAACAGAGUGUCACUAGUAUGCCUCUACUUGAGUAGCUCGUUGAUCAAAGAUGGUUAUGUUUCCUAACCAUAGACAUGAGUUGUCAUUUGAUAAACGGGAUCACAUCAUUAGGAGAAUGAUGUGAUUGACUUGACCCAUUCCGUUAGCUUAGCACUUGAUCAUUUUAGUUUACUGCUAUUGCUUUCUUCAUGACUUAUACAUGUUCCUAUGACUAUGAGAUUAUGCAACUCCCGAUUACCGGAGGAACACUUUGUGUGCUACCAAACGUCACAACGUAACUGGGUGAUUAUAAAGGUGCUCUACAGGUGUCUCCGAUGGUACUUAUUGAGUUGGCAUAGAUCGAUAUUAGAAUUUGUCACUCCGAUUGUCGGAGAGGUAUCUCUGGGCCCUCUCAGUAAUGCACAUCACCAUAAGCCUUGCAAGCAAUGUAACUAAUGAGUUAGUUGCGGGAUGAUGCAUUACCGAACGAGUAAAGAGACUUGUUGGUAACGAGAUUGAACUAGGUAUUGAGAUACCGACGAUCGAAUCCCGGGCAAGUAACAUACCGAUGACAAAGGGAACAACGUAUGCUGUUAUGCGGUUCGAUCGAUAAAGAUCUUCGUAGAAUAUGUAGGAGCCAAUAUGGGCAUCCAGGUUCCGCUAUUGGUUAUUGACCAGAGAAGUGUCUCGGUCAUGUCUACAUAGUUCUCGAACCCGUAGGGUCCGCACGCUUAACAUUCGUUGACGAUAUAGUAUUUAUGAGUUAUGUAUGUUGGUAACCGAAUGUUGUUAGGAGUUCCGGAUAAGAUCACGGACAUGACGAGGAACUCUGGAAUGGUCCGGAGAUAAAGUUUGAUAUAUGGGAUAAUAGUGUUUGGUCUCCGGAAGGGUUCCGGAAUUCACCGGAAGGGGUUCCGGAUGUUUCCCGAAAUGUUUGGGUAUGAGAACACUUGAUUUGGGCCAAUGGGGAAAGCCCACAAGGUUUUUGGAAAGCGCAAAAAGGAAGUUUUGCGGAGUCCAGGGGCCAGAUGUCAGGGUCCCUGGCGUCUGGGUCCAGACGCCGGGAACCCUGGCGUCUGGCCCUGGAGUUCGAGAAGGACUCUUGCCUUUCGGGUGAAACCGACUUUGUGGAGGCUUUUACUCCAAGUUUCGACCCCAAGGAUCAACAUAUAAAUAGAGGGGUAGGGCUAGCACCCAAGACACAUCAAGAAACACCAAGCCGUGUGCUGGCAACCCAGUCCCCUCUAGUUUAUCCUCCGUAAUAGUUUUCGUAGUGCUUAGGCGAAGCCCUGCGGAGAUUGUUCUUCACCAACACCAUCACCACGCCGUUGUGCUGCCGGAACUCAUCUACUACUUCGCCCCUCUUGCUGGAUCAAGAAGGCGAGGACAUCAUCGAGUUGAAUGUGUGCUGAACGCGGAGGUGCCAUACGUUCGGUACUUGAUCGGGACAGAUCGUGAAGGUGUACAACUACCUCAACGGCGUUGAUAAACGCUUCCGCUUUCGGUCUACGAGGGUACGUAGAUAUACUCUCCCCUCUCGUUGCUAUGCAUCACCAUGAUCUUGCGUGUGUGUAGGAUUUUUUUUGAAAUUACUACGUUCCCCAACAGUGGCAUCUGAGCCAGGUUUAUGCAUAGAUGUUAUAUGCAUGAGUAGAACACCAGUGAGUUAUGGGCGAUACAAGUCAUACUGCUUACCAGUAUGUCAUACUUUGGUUUGGCGGUAUUGUUGGAUGAAGCGACCCGGACCGACAUUAGGCGUACACUUACGCGAGACUGGUUCUACCAACGUGCUUUGCACACAGGUGGCUGGCCGGUGUCAGUUUCUCUAACUUUAGUUGAACCGAGUGUGACUACGCCCGGUCCUUGUUGAAGGUUAAAACAACACUAACUCGACGAAAUAUCGUUGUGGUUUUGAUGCGUAGGUAAGAACGGUUCUUGCUCAACCCAUAGCAGCCACGUAAAACUUGCAACAACAAAGUAGAGGACCGUUUUUGCAGGGCAUGUUGUGAUGUGAUAUGGUCAAGGCAUGAUGCUAUAUUUUAUUGUAUGAGAUGAUCAUGUUUUGUAACAGAGUUAUCGGCAACUGGCAGGAGCCAUAUGGUUGUCGCUUUAUUGUACGCAAUGCAAUCACCCUAUAAUUGCUUUACUUUAUCACUAAGCGGUAGCGAUAGUCGUAGAAGCAAUAGUUGGCGAGACAAAAACGAUGCUACGAGGAGAUCAAGGUGUCGCGUCGGUGACGAUGGUGAUCAUGACGGUGCUUUGGAGAUGGAGAUCAUGGGCACAAGAUGAUGAUGGCCAUGUCAUAUCACUUAUAUUGAUUGCAUGUGAUGUUUUAUUCUGCUUGAUUGAUGGUAGCAUUAUAAGAUGAUCUCUCACUAAAUUUCAAGGUACAAGUGUUCUCCCUGAGUAUGCACUGUUUCCAAAGUUCGUCGUGCCGAGAUACCACAUGAUGAUCGGGUGUGAUAAGCUCUACGUUCACAUACAACGGGUGCAAGCCAAUUUUGCACACGCAGAAAUACUCGGGUUAAACUUGACGAGCCUAGCAUAUGCAGAUAUGGCCUCGGAACACUGAGACCGAAAGGUCGAGCGUGAAUCAUAUAGUAGAUAUGAUCUACAUAGUGAUGUUCACCAUUGAAAACUACUCCAUUUCACGUGAUGAUCGGUCAUGGUUUAGUUGAUUUGGAUCACGUAAUCACUUAUAUGAUUAGAGGGAUGUAUAUCUAAGUGGGAGUUCUUAAAUAUGAUUAAUUGAACUUUAAUUUAUCAUGAACUUAGUACCUGAUAGUACCUGGAGAGAGUGUUGUACCCCAGCAUAAGCUGGUGGUUGCUGACUUCCGCUUUCGGAUUCGUCUCUAGCGGGAUAAGAGUGCCAAAGUCGCUAGAACGAAUUGGUGGAAGCUCAAGGGGGAGGCAGCUCAGGUGUUCAAGGAGAGGGUCAUUAAGGAGGGCCCUUGGGAGGAAGGAGGGGAUGCGGACAAUGUGUGGAUGAAGAUGGCGACUUGCAUUCGUAAGGUGGCCUCGGAGGAGUUUGGAGUGUCCAGGGGAAGGAGAAGCGAAGAUAAGGAUACCUGGUGGUGGAAUGAUGAUGUCCAGAAGGCGAUUAAAGAGAAGAAAGAUUGCUUCAGACGCCUAUACCUGGAUAGGAGCGCAGACAACAUAGAUAAGUACAAGAUGGCGAAGAAGGCCGCAAAGCGAGCUGUUGGUGAAGCAAGGGGUCGGGCAUAUGAGGAGCUCUACCAACGGUUAGGCACGAAGGAAGGUGAAAGGGACAUCUAUAAGAUGGCCAAGAUCCGAGAGAGGAAGACGAGGGAUAUUGGCCAAGUCAAAUGCAUUAAGGACGGAGCAGGCCAACUCUUGGUGAAGGACGAGGAGAUUAAGCAUAGAUGGUGGGAGUACUUCGACAAGCUGUUCAAUGGGGAGAAUGAGAGUUCUACCAUUGAACUGGGAGACUCCUUUGAUGAGACCAGCAUGCGUUUUGUGCGGCGAAUCCAGGAGUCUGAGGUGAAGGAGGCUUUAAAAAGGAUGAGAGGAGGCAAGGCGAUGGGCCCUGAUUGUAUCCCCAUUGAGGUGUGGAAAGGUCUCGGGGACAUAGCGAUAGUAUGGCUAACCAAGCUUUUCAACCUCAUUUUUCGGGCAAACAAGAUGCCAGAAGAAUGGAGACGGAGUAUAUUAGUACCAAUCUUCAAGAACAAGGGGGAUGUUCAGAGUUGUACUAAUUACUGUGGAAUUAAGCUGAUGAGCCAUACAAUGAAGCUAUGGGAGAGAGUCAUUGAGCACCGCUUAAGAAGAAUGACAAGCGUGACCAAAAAUCAGCUUGGUUUCAUGCCUGGGAGGUCGACCAUGGAAGCCAUUUUCUUGGUACGACAACUUAUGGAGAGAUAUAGGGAGAAAAAGAAGGACUUGCAUAUGGUGUUCAUUGACUUGGAGAAGGCCUAUGAUAAGAUAUCGCGGAAUGUCAUGUGGUGGGCCUUGGAGAAACACAAAGUCCCAGCAAAGUACAUUACCCUCAUCAAGGACAUGUACAAUAAUGUUGUGACAAGUGUUCGAACAAGUGAUGUUGACACCGAUGACUUCCCGAUUAAGAUAGGACUGCAUCAGGGGUCAGCUUUGAGCCCUUAUCUUUUUGCAUUGGUGAUGGAUGAGGUCACAAGGGAUAUACAAGGAGAUAUCCCAUGGUGUAUGCCCUUUACUGAUGAUGUGGUGCUAGUUGACGAUAGUCGGACGGGGGUAAAUAGGAAGUUAGAGUUAUGGAGAUAAACCUUGGAAUCGAAAGGGUUUAGGCUUAGUAGAACUAAAAGCGAGUACAUGAUGUGCGAUUUCAGUACUACUAGGUGUGAGGAGGAGGAGGUUAGCCUUGAUGGCCAGGUGGUACCUCGGAAGAACACCUUUCGGUAUUUGGGGUCAAUGUUGCAGGAGGAUGGGGGUAUUGAUGAAGAUGUGAACCAUCGAAUCAAAGCCGGAUGGAUGAAGUGGCGCCAAGCUUCUGGCAUUCUCUAUGACAAGAGAGUGCCACAAAAGUUAAAAGGCAAGUUCUACAGGACGGCGGUUCGACCCGCAAUGUUGUAUGGCGUGGAGUGUUGGCCGACUAAAAGGCGACAUGUUCAACAGUUAGGUGUGGCGGAGAUGCGUAUGUUGAGAUGGAUGUGUGGCCACACGAGGAAGGAUCGAGUCCGGAAUGAUGAUAUACAAGAUAGAGUUGGGGUAGCACCAAUUGAGGAGAAGCUUGUCCAACAUCGUCUGAGAUGGUUUGGGCAUAUUCAGCACAGGCCUCCAGAAGCUCCAGUGCAUAGCGGACGGCUAAAGCGUGCGGAGAAUGUCAAGAGAGGGUGGGGUAGACCGAGUUUGACAUGGGAGGAGUCCGUUAAGAGAGACCUGAAGGAUUGGAGUAUCACCAAAGAGCUAGCUAUGGAUAGGGGUGCGUGGAAGCUUGCGUGGAAGCUUGCUAUCCAUGUGCCAGAGCCAUGAGUUGGUUGCGAGAUCUUAUGGGUUUCACCUCUAGCCUACCCCAACUUGUUUGGGACUAAAGGCUUUGUUGUUGUUAUUGUUGUUGUUGUUGUUGUUGUUGUUGUUGUUGUUGUUGUUGUUGUUUAUGUUGUUGUAGAUAGAUGGCACAUGUUGUUGUUCCGUUGAAUUUUAAUGUGUUCCUUGAGAAAGCAAAGUUGAAAGAUGAUGGUAGCAAUUACACGGACUGGGUCCGUAACUUGAGGAUUAUCCUCAUUGCUGCACAGAAGAAUUACGUCCUGGAAGCACCGCCAGGUGCCAAACCCGCUGCAAGAGCAACGCCAGAUGUUAUGAACGUCUGGCAGAACAAAGCUGGUGACUACUCGAUAGUUCAGUGUGCCAUGCUUUAUGGCUUAGAACCGGGACUUCAACAACGUUUUGAACGUCAUGGAGCAUGUGAGAUGUUCCAGGAGUUGAAGUUAAUAUUUCAAGCAAAUGCCCAGACUGAGAGAUAUGAAGUAUUCAAUAAGUUCUACAACUGCAAGAUGGAGGAGAAUAGUUCUGUCAGUGAACAUAUACUCAGAAUGUCUGGGUACCAUAACCACUUGACUCAACUGGGAGUUAAUCUUCCUGUUAAUGUGUCAUUAACAUAGUUCUUCAAUCACUGCCACCAAGCUACAAGAGCUUCAUGGUGAACUAUAAUAUGCAAGGGAUGGAUAAGACGAUUCCCGAGCUCUUCGCAAUGCUAAAAGCUGCGGAGGUAGAAAUCAAGAAGGAGCAUCAAGUGUUGAUGGUCAAUAAGACCAUCAGUUUCAAGAAAAACGGUAAAGGGAAGAAGAAAGGGAACUUUAAGAAGAACGACAAACAAGUUGCUGCUCAAGAGAAGAAACCCAAGUCUGGACCUAAGCUUGAGACUGAGUGCUUCUACUGCAAAGGGACUGGUCACUGGAAGCAGAACUGCCCCAAGUAUUUGGCAGAUAAGGAGGAUGGCAAGGUGAACAAAGGUAUAUGUGAUAUACAUGUUAUUGAUGUGUACCUUACUAAAGCUCGCAGUAGCACCUGGGUAUUUGAUACUGGUUCUGUUGCUAAUAUUUGCAACUCGAAACAUGGACUACAGAUUAAGCGAAGAUUGGCUAAGGACGAGGUGACGAUGCGCUUGGGAAAUGGUUCCAAAGUCGAUGUGAUCGCCGUCGGCACCCUACCUCUACAUCUACCUUCAGGAUUAGUUUUAGACCUGAAUAAUUGUUAUUUGGUGCAAGCGUUGAGCAUGAACAUUAUGUCUGGAUCUUGUUUGAUGCGAGACAGUUAUUCAUUUAAAUCAGAGAAUAAUGGUUGUUCUAUUUAUAUGAUUAAUAUCUUUUAUGGUCAUGCACCCUUGAAGAGUGGUCUAUUUUUAAUGUAUCUCGAUAGUAGUGAUACACAUAUUCAUAAUAUUGAAGCUAAAAGAUGCAGAGUUGAUAAUGAUAGUGCAACUUAUUUGUGGCACUGAUAUGUCUCCAACGUAUCUAUAAUUUUUGAUUAUUCCAUGCUAUUAUAUUAUCAACUUUGGAUGUUUAUGGGCUUUAUUAUACACUUUUAUAUUAUUUUUGGGACUAACCUAUUAACCCAGAGCCCAGUGCCAAUUCCUGUUUUUCCCCUUGUUUCAGUGUUUCACGGAAAAGGAAAAUCAAACGGAGUCCAAUUGACCUGAAACUUCACGGAACUUAUUUUUGGAUCAGAAGAAGCCCAGAAGACUUGAAGUGCACGUUAGGGGAUCAACGAGGAGGCCACGAGGUAGGGGGGCGCGCCCACCCCCCUGGGCACGCCCUCCACCCUCGUGCCCCCCCUGACGCACUUCUUCCUCCUAUAUAUCUCCAUAUACCCUAAAACGAUCGGGGAGCACAAUAGAUCGGGAGUUCCGCCGCCAGAAGCCUCCAUAGCCACCGAAAGCCAAUCUAGACCCGUUCCGGCACCCUGCCGGAGGGGGAAUCCCUCUCCGGCGGCCAUCUUCAUCAUCCCGGUGCUCUCCAUGACGAGGAGGGAGUAGUUCUCCCUCGGGGCUGAGGGUAUGUACCAGUAGCUAUGCGUUUGAUCUCUCUCUCUCUCUCGUGUUCUUGAGGUGAUACGAUCUUGAUGUAUCGCGAGCUUUGCUAUUAUAGUUGGAUCUUAUGAUGUUUUCUUCCCCCUCUACUCUCUUGUAAUGGUUUGAGUUUACUCUUUGAAAUUAUCUUAUCGGAUUGAGUCUUUAAAGAUUUGAGAACACUUGAUGUAUGUCUUGCCGUGCGUAUCUGUGGUGACAAUGGGAUACCACGUGAUUCACUUGAUGUAUGUUUGAUACGUCCAUUUUGCAUCAUGCUUUUAUAUCGAUAUUUAUUGCAUUAUGGGCUGUUAUUUCACAUUAUGUCACAAUACUUAUGGCUAUUCUCUCUUAUUUUACAAGGUUUACAUAAGGAGGGAGAAUCCCGGCAGGUGGAAUUCUGGGCUGGAAAAGGAGCAAAUAUUAGAGACCUAUUCUGCACAACUCCAAAAGUCCUGAAACUCCACGGAACACCUUAUAAUAAAUAAUGAAGAAUCCUCGCCAAAGAUGAAGACCAGGGGGCCCACACCCUUCUCACGAGGGUGGGGGUGCCCCUGCCUCGUGGGCCCUCUGGUGGCUCUCCGAUGACCAUCUUCUCCUAUAUGAAGUCUUUCGUCGAGAAAAAAAAAGAAGCAACCUUUCGGGAGAAACUCCGCCGCCAUGAGGCGGAAGCUUGGCGAGUCCAAUCUAGAGCUCCGGCCGAGCUGUUCUGUCGGGGAAACUUCCCUCCCGGAGGGGGAAUCAUCGCCAUCGUCAUCACCAACGCUCCUCUCAUCUGGAGAGGGCAAUCUCCAUCAACAUCUUCAUCAGCACCAUCUCAUCUCAAAACCCUAGUUCAUCUCUUGUAUCCGAUUCUUGUCUUCAAGUCCAGGAUUGGUGCUAGUAGGUUGCUAGUAGUGUUAAUUACUCCUUGUAGUUGAUGCUAGUUGGUUUAAUUGGUGGAAGAUCAUAUCUUCAGAUUCUUUAUGCAUAUUAAUACCCCUCUGAUUAUGAACAUGAAUAUGCUUUGUGAGUAGUUACGUUUGUUCCUGAGGACAAGGGAGAAGUCUUGCUAUUAGUAGUCAUGUGAAUUUGGUAUUCAUUCGAUAUUUUGAUGAGAUGUAUGUUGUCUAGCCUCUAGUGGUGUUAUGUGAACGUUGACUACAUAAUACUUCACCAUUAUUUGGGCCUAGAGGAAGGCAUUCGGAAGUAAUAAGUAGAUGAUGGGUUGCUAGAGUGACAGAAGCUUAAACCCUAGUUUAUGCGUUGCUUCGUAAGGGGCUGAUUUGGAUCCAUAUGUUUCAUGCUAUGGUUAGGUUUACCUUAAUACUUUUGUUGUAGUUGUGGAUGCUUGCAAUAGAGGUUAAUCAUAAGUGGGAUGCUUGUUCAAGUAAGAACAUCACCCAAGCACCGGUCCACCCACAUAUCAAAUUAUCCAAGUACCGAACGUGAAUCAUAUGAACGUGAUGAAAACUAGCUUGACGAUAUUCCCAUGUGUCCUCGGGAGCGCUUUUCCUUAUAUAAGAGUUUGUCCAUGCUUGUCCUUUGCUACAAAAAGGAUUGGGCCACCUUGCUGCACUUUAUUUACUUUUGUUACUUGUUGCUCGUUACAAAUUAUCUCAUUACAAACUAUCUGUUACCACUUAUUUCAGUACUUGGAGAGAAUACCUUGCUGAAAACCGUUUAUCAUUUCCUUCUGCUCCUCGUUGGGUUCGACACUCUUACUUAUCGAAAGGACUAUGAUAGAUCCCCUAUACUUGUGGGUCAUCAAGACUCUUUUCUGGUGCCGUUGCCGGGGAGUGAAGUGCCUUUGGUAGGGAAAAAUUUAUAUAGUGUGCUGAAAUUUACUGUCACUUGUUACUAUGGAAAGUAAUCCUCUGAGGGGCUUGUUCGGGGUAUCUUCACCCCGACCAGUAGAGCACAUAGUUUCUCCUCAACCUACUGAACCUAUUGAAAAUGAAAUUCCUUAUGAGUAUCCUUCGAGUAUAAUAGAAAAACUGCUAGCUAAUCCUUUUACAGGAGAUGGAACAAAGCAUCCUCAUGAACACCUAAUAUAUGUGGAUGAAGUUUGUGGAUUAUUUAAGCUUGUAGGUAUUUCCGAUGAUGUUGCUAAGAAGAAGGUAUUCCCUUUAUCUUUGAAGGGAGACACAUUGACAUGGUAUAGGCUAUGUGAUGAUAUGGGAUCAUGGAACUAUAGAAGGUUGGAAUUGGAAUUUCAUCAAAAGUAUUACCCUAUGCAUCUUGUUCAUCGUGAUCGCAAUUAUAUAUAUAAUUUUUGGCCUCGUGAAGGAGAAAGCAUCGCUCAAGCUUGGGGGAGGCUUAAAUCAAUGUUAUAUUCAUGCCCCAAUCAUGAUCUUCCAAGAGAAACAAUUCUUCAAAAAAUUUAUGCUCGGCUUUCUGAUAACAAUCGCACCAUGCUUGAUACUUCUUGUGAUGUCUCUUUUAUGAUGAAGACUAUUGGAUUUAGAUGGGAUUAAUUGGAUAGAAUUAAACGCAACUCUGAAGAUUGGGACCUCGACAAUGGUAAGGAGUCAGGUAUGACACCUAAGUUUGAUUGUGUUAAAUCUUUCAUGGAUACCGAUGUUUUCCGUAAGUUUAGCACUAAAUAUGGACUUGAUUCUGAGAUAGUAGCUUGUUUCUGUGAAUCUUUUGCUACUUAUGUUGAUCUCCCUAAGGAGAAGUGGUUUAAAUAUCAUCCUCCCAUAGAAGUAAAAGUAGUUGCACCUAUUAAAGUUGAAGAAAAGAAUGUCACUUAUAAUGAUCCUAUUGUUCCUACUUAUGUUGAGAAACCACCUUUCCCUGUUAGGAUAAAGGAUCAUGCUAAAGCUUCAACUGUAGUUCGUAAAAGUAAUAUUAAAACAUAUACACCUCCUGAGCAAGUUAAAGUUGAACCUAAUAUUGCUAUUGUUAAAGAGCUCUUGUCUGAUAAUAUUGAUGGGCAUGUUAUUCAGUUAUGCGGUGAAACUGCUAGAAUUGCUAAACCUUGUGCUAAAGAUAAACAUAGACCUGUGGUAGGUGUGCCUGUUAUUUCUGUUAAAAUAGGAGAUCAUUGUUAUCAUGGCUUAUGUGAUAUGGGUGCUAGUGCUAGUGUUAUACCUUAUGACUUGUAUAAAGAAAUCAAGCAUGAAAUUGCACCUGUUGAGUUAGAAGAUAUUGAUGUCACAAUUAAACUUGCUAAUAGAGAUACUAUUUCAGCAAUGGGAAUUGUUAGAGAUGUUGAAGUCUUGUGCGGGAAAACUAAAUAUCCUGCUGAUUUUCUUGUUCUUAGUUCUUCACAAGAUAACUUUUGUCCCGUUAUAUUUGGUAGACCCUUCUUGAAUACAGUUAAUGCUAGGAUAGACUGCGAAUAGAAUGUUGUUACUAUUGGCUUGGAUGAUAUGACUCAUGAGUUUAAUUUCUCUAAAUUUAGUAAACAACACCGUGAAGAAGAAUUGCCUAGUAAGGAUGAAAUUAUUGGUCUUGCUUCUAUUGUCGUACCUCCUAAUGAUCCUUUAGAACAAUAUUUGCUAGACCAUGAGAAUGAUAUGUUUAUGAAUGAAAGAAGGGAAAUAGAUGAAGUAUUCUUUAAACAAGAACCUAUGCUAAAACACAAUUUGCCUGUUGAAAUCCUAGGGGAUCCUCCUCCACCUAAGGGUGAUCCCAUGUUUGAGCUUAAACCGUUGCCUGAUAAUCUUAAAUAUGCUUAUCUUGAUGAAAAGAAGAUAUAUCCUGUUAUUAUUAGUGCUAACCUUUCAGAGCAUGAAGAAGAAAGAUUAUUGAAAACUCUGAAGAAGCACCGUGCUGCUAUUGGAUAUACUCUUGAUGAUCUUAAGGGCAUUAGUCCCACUCUAUUUCAACAUAAAAUAAAUUUGGAAGCAGAUGCCAAACUAGUUCGUGAUCCUCAACGAUGUCUGAAUCCUAAAAUGAAAGAAGUGGUAAGAAAAGAAAUACUAAAGCUUCUAGAGGCAGGUAUAAUUUAUCCCGUUGCUGAUAGUCAGUGGGUAAGUCAUGUUCAUUGUGUCCCUAAGAAGGGAGGUAUUACUGUUGUUCCUAAUGAUAAAGAUGAAUUGAUUCCAUAAAGAAUUAUUACCGGUUAUAGGAUGGUAAUUGAUUUCCGCAAAUUAAAUAAGGCUACUAAGAAAGAUCAUCACCCCUUAUCUUUUAUCGAUCAAAUGCUAGAAAGAUUAUGCAAACAUACACAUUACUGCUUUCUAGAUGGUUAUUCUGGUUUCUCUCAAAUACCUGUGUCGGCUAAAGAUCAAUCAAAGACUACUUUUACAUGCCCUUUUGGUACUUUUGCUUAUAGACGUAUGCCUUUUGGUUUAUGUAAUGCAUCUGCUACCUUUCAAAGAUGCACGAUGGCUAUAUUCUCUGACUUUUGUGAAAAGAUUUGUGAGGUUUUCAUGGAUGACUUUUUCGUCUAUGGGUCUUCUUUUGAUGAUUGCUUGAGCAAUCUUGAUCGAGUUUUGCAGAGAUGUGAAGAAACUAAUCUUGUCUUGAAUUGGGAAAAGUGCCACUUUAUGGUUAACGAAGGUAUUGUCUUGGGGCAUAAAGUUUCUGAAAAAGGUAAUGAAGUUGAUAAAGCCAAGGUUGAUGCUAUUGAAAAGAUGCCAUGUCCCAAGGACAUCAAAGGUAUAAGAAGUUUCCUUGGUCACGCCGGAUUUUAUAGGAGGUUCAUCAAGGACUUCUCAAAAAAAUUUCAGCCUCUGACUAAUUUAUUACAAAAAGAUAUACCAUUUGUCUUUGAUGAUGAUUGUGUAGAAGCAUUUGAAAUACUUAAGAAAGCAUUAGUCUCUGCACCUAUUGUUCGGCCACCUGAUUGGAAUUUACCCUUUGAAAUUAUGUGUGAUGCUAGUGAUUAUGCUGUAGGUGCUGUUUUAGGGCAAAGAGUUGAUAAGAAACUAAAUGGUAUCCAUUAUGCUAGUAAACUCUAGACAAUGCUCAAAGAAAUUAUGCUACCACUGAAAAAGAACUUUUAGCAGUUGUAUUUGCUUGUGAUAAGUUCAGACCUUAUAUUGUUGAUUCUAAAGUAACUAUCCACACUGAUCAUGAUGCUAUUAAAUAUCUUAUGGAAAAGAAAGAUGCUAAACCUAGACUUAUCAGAUGGGUUCUCUUGCUACAAGAAUUUGAUUUGCAUAUUGUUGAUAGAAAAGGAGCUGAAAACCCCGUUGCAGACAACUUAUCUAGGUUAGAGGAUGUUCUUGAUGACCCACUAACUAUUGAUGAUAGUUUUCCUGAUGAACAAUUAAAUGUCAUAAGUACUUCUCGUAGUACCCCUUGGUAUGCUGAUUAUGCUAAUUACAUAGUUGCUAAAUUUAUACCACCUAGCUUCACAUACCAACAAAAGAAAAAGUUCUUCUAUGAUUUGAUACAUUACUUUUGGGAUGACCCACAUCUUUAUAAAGAAGGAGUAGAUGGUAUUAUUAGACGUUGUGUACCUGAGCAUGAACAUGAACAGAUCCUACGUAAGUGCCACUCCGAAACUUAUGGAGGACACCACACGGGAGAUAGAACUGCACAUAAGGUAUUGCAAUCCGGUUUUUAUUAACCUACUCUCUUCAAGGAUGCCCGUAAGUUUGUCCUAUCUUGUGAUGAAUGUCAAAUAAUUGGUAAUAUUAGUAGACGUCAAGAAAUGCCUAUGAAUUAUUCACUUGUUAUUGAACCGUUUGAUGUUUGGGGCUUUGAUUAUAUGGGACCUUUUCCUGCCUCUAAUGGAUAUACACAUAUUUUAGUUGCUAUUGAUUAUGUUACUAAGUGGGUAGAAGCUAUUCCAACUAGUCAUGCUGAUCAUAACACUUCUAUUAAAAUGCUUAAAGAAGUUAUUUUUUCCGAGGUUUGGAGUCCCUAGAUAUUUAAUGACUGAUGGUGGUUCACAUUUUAUUCAUGGUGCUUUCCGUAAAAUGCUUGCUAAAUAUGACGUCAAUCAUAGAAUUGCAUCUCCGUAUCACCCACAGUCUAGUGGUCAAGUAGAAUUGAGUAAUAGAGAACUCAAAUUAAUUUUGCAAACGAUUGUCAAUAGGUCUAGAAAGAAUUGGUCCAAGAAACUUGAUGGUGCAUUAUGGGCCUAUAGAACUGCAUAUAAAAAUCCUAUGGGUAUGUCUCCGUAUAAAAUGGUAUAUGGAAAAGCAUGUCACUUACCUCUCGAACUAGAACAUAAGGCAUAUUGGGCUAUUAAAGAGCUCAACUAUGAUUUCAAACUUGCUGGUGAAAAGAGGUUAUUUGAUAUUAGCUCACUUGAUGAAUGGAGAACCCAAGCUUAUGAAAAUGCCAAGUUGUUUAAAGAAAAGGUUAAAAGAUGGCAUGACAAAAGGAUACAAAAGCGUGAGUUUAAUGUAGGUGAUUAUGUAUUGCUAUACAACUCUCGUUUAAGAUUUUUUGCAGGGAAACUUCUCUCUAAAUGGGAAGGCCCCUAUGUUAUCGAGGAGGUCUAUCAUUCUGGUGCCAUAAAAAUCAACAACUUCGAAGGCACAAAUCCGAAGAUGGUAAACGGUCAAAGAAUCAAACAUUAUAUCUCAGGUAAUCCCAUAAAUGUUGAAACCAAUAUUAUUGAAACCGUAACCCCGGAGGAAUACAUAAGGGACACUUUCCAGAACGUUUCAGACUCCGAAAAGGAAUAGGUAUGUGGUACGGUAAGUACACCGACUCCAAAACAAUUUUUAAGGCAAUAUUUCUCUGUUUUGGAAUAUUUAGAAAAAUAGAAAAUUAAGUAGCAGUCCGGGAAGGACACGAGGGCCUCACGAGGGUGGAGGGCGCGCCCCCUACCUCGUGAGCUCCUCGUGUGCCUUCCGGACUCCGUUUUCUUGCACGAUACGUAUUUUGGUCGGUAAAAAUUAACUAUAUAAUAUUCCGGGGUUUUUGACUCCCGUAUCACGCAAAAAUCUCUUCUCUUUGUUUCGAGCUAUUUUCUGUUAGGGUUUUCAAGACCAGGCACUAUGUCGUCUCCCUCCUCCUCCAACCAUGAGGGCAAUGAUGCUUGGCUAAUGAAGAUAGAGCUAAAGAGAGAAGAACCUAUGGAUAUCAAUAAGGAUGAAGGGAUCAAGAAGGCCGUGGAGGACCAAGUCCCAGCAACAGAAGACACCCUUCAACUGGAUCAUAAUCUUCUUAUCCCUACAAAAAUCGAAGCUUUCAAGAUGAUUGAGUUGGCUCGUAUACAAAAUAAGUAUCUCACACGUGAAAAUAUUUUGUUGAAGGAGCAUAUCCUCGCACUCAAGGGCAUUAUCCGCAAGUUAGAAGACCUCCUACGCUCGAUGUGCGACUAUCCAUCAUCAACAAUACCUCCACCUUAUUCACCAACCAAGGAGAUAUAAUAACAUGGGUAUGGGCACUCCCCUUGGCAACCGCCAAGCUUGGGGGAGGUGCCCCGGUAUCGUAUCACCCUCACCUUUAUCUUUACCGUUUUCCUUAGUUCGAUCCUGUUGGAAAUAUGCCCUAGAGGCAAUAAUAAAUUGGUUAUUUCCUUGUUCAUGAUAAUCGUUUAUUAUCCAUGCUAUUAUUGUAUGGAUAGGAAACUCAGAUACAUGUGUGGAUACAUAGACAACACCAUGUCCCUAGUAAGCCUCUAGUUGACUAGCUCGUUGAUCAAUUGAUGGUUACGGUUUCCUGACCAUGGACAUUGGAUGUCGUUGAUAACGGGAUCACAUCAUUAGGAGAAUCAUGUGAUGGACAAGACCCAAUCCUAAGCCUAGAACAAAGAUCGUGUAGUUCGUAUGCUAAAGCUUUUCUAAUGUCAAGUAUCAUUUCCUUAGACCAUGAGAUUGUGCAACUCCCGGAUACCGUAGGAAUGCUUUGGGUGUGCCAAACGUCACAACGUAACUGGGUGGCUAUAAAGGUACACUACGGGUAUCUCUGAAAGUGUCUGUUGGGUUGGCACGAAUCGAGACUGGGAUUUGUCACUCCGUGUGACGGAGAGGUAUCUCUGGGCCCACUCGGUAGGACAUCAUCAUAUGCGCAAUUUGACCAAGGAGUUGAUCACGGGAUGAUGUGUUACGGAACGAGUAAAGAGACUUGCCAGUAACGAGAUUGAACAAGGUAUCGGAUACCGACGAUCGAAUCUCGGGCAAGUACAAUACCGCUAGACAAAGGGAAUUGAAUACGGGAUUGGUUGAAUCCUCGACAUCAUGGUUCAUCCGAUGAGAUCAUCGUGGAACAUGUGGGAGCCAACAUGGGUAUCCAGAUCCCGCUGUUGGUUAUUGGCCGGAGAGGUGUCUCGGUCAUGUCUGCAUGGUUCCCGAACCCGUAGGGUCUACACACUUAAGGUUCGAUGACGCUAGGGUUAUAGGGAAUAGAUAUACGUGGUUACCGAAUGUUGUUCAGAGUCCCGAAUGAGAUCUCGGACAUCACUAGGAGUUCCGGAAUGGUCCAGAGGUAAAGAUUUAUAUAUGGGAAGUCCUGUUUUGGUCACCGGAAAAGUUUCAGGUGCUAUCGGUAACGUACCGGGACCACCGGGAGGGUCCCGGGGGUCCACCAGGUGGGGCUACCUGCCCCAGAGGGCUGCGUGGGCCAAGUGUGAGAGGGGACCAGCCCCUGGUUGGCUGGUGCGCCCCCCCACCAGGGCCCAAGGCGAAGAGAGAAGAAAAAAAGGGGAAACCCUAGGCUCAGAUGGGCCUAAGGCCCACCUAGUGGUGCGCCCCCCUCUCUCCCCCCUUGGCCGCCCCCCCCCCCUAGAUGGGAUCUAGGGGUGGAAACCUAGGUGGGGGCGCAGCCCCUCCCUUUCCCCUAUAUAUAGUGGGGUUUUGGGCUGCCAUACACACGAGAACAUCUCCUUCUUGGCGCAGCCCUACCCCUCUCCCUCCUCGUCUCUUGCGGUGCUUGGCGAAGCCCUGCUGGAGUACCACGCUCCUCCACCACCACCACCACGCCAUCGUGCUGCUGCUGGACGGAGUCUUCCCCAACCUCUCCCUCUCUCCUUACUGGAUCAAGGCAUGGGAGACGUCACCGGGCUGCAUGUGUGUUGAACGCGGAGGUGCCGUCCGUUCGGCACUAGGAUCAUCGGUGAUUUGGAUCACGGCGAGUACGACUCCAUCAACCCCGUUCACUUGAAUGCUUCCGCUUAGUGAUCUACAAGGGUAUGUAGAUGCACUCUCCUUCCCCUCGUUGCUAGAUUACUCCAUAGAUUGAUCUUGGUGAUGUGUAGAAAAUUUUGAAUUUCUGCUACGUCACAACAGAUCCUAUUAGUAGUAUUUUUAUCUAGUAGUAUAAAGUUUAUGGCAUGAUCUAGUUGUGAGUUUUGCUUUAUUAUCCUUCUAUGUAAUCGAGUCCGUGAGCUAUAUAAUAAAGAUUAGUGUUGAGUCAAGGGCUUGAUUAUUUUGCCAUGAUCCUAAGUGAAUAAAAGAAAAGAGAAAGUAAUAAAAAGGAAACAAAGAGAUCAUAUGGAUCUCAUGGAGAGUAAUGAGCUCACAUAGAAAAAGUAUGAUGAAUAAAAGUUGUUGAGAGUUGACAAGCAUAGUUUUGGUCAUGGUUGCAAUCAAUAGGAAGUAAUAAAGAAAGAGAGGUCCUCACAUAUAGAUAUACUAUCUUGGACAUCUUUUAUGAUUGUGAGCACUCAUUAAAAUAUGACAUGCUAAAGAGUUGACAUUGGAUAAGGAAGACAACGUAAUGGGUUAUGUUUUCUUACAUCUGUGAUAAAUUAUAUUGUCUUGGAUCUUCCAACAUGUUGAGCUUGCUUUUCCCACUCAUGCUAGCCAAAUUCAUUGCACCAAGUAGAGAUACUACUUGUGCUUCCAAAUACCCUUAAACCAGUUUUGCCAUGAGAGUCCACCAUAUCUACCUAUGGAUUGAAUAAGAUCCUUCAAGUAAGUUGUCAUCGGUGCAAAGCAAUAAAAAUUGCUCUCUAAAUAUGUAUGAUUGAUUGGUGUGGGAGAAAUAAGCUUUAUACGAUCUUGUGAUGUGGAAGUAAUAAGAGUGACGGACUGCAUAAUAAAGGUUCAUAUCACAAGGGGCAAUAUAAAGUGACGUUCUUUCGCAUUAAGAUUUUGUGCAUCCAACCAUAAAAGCGCAUGGCAACCUCUGCUUCCCUCUGCGAAGGGCCUAUCUUUUAUCAUUACCUUCUACCUUAUGCAAGAGUCAUGGUGAUGCUCACCCUUCCUUUUUACACUUUAUCCUUUGGCAAGCACAGUAUGUUGGAAAGAUCCUAGUAUAUAUGGCUAAUUAGAUGUGAGUUUUCAUGAACUAUUACUGUUGACAUUACCCUUGAGGUAAAACGUUGGGAGGCAAGACUAUAAGCCCCUAUCUUUCUCUGUGUCCGAUUAAAACUCCAUACCCAUAAGUAUUGCGCGAGUGUCAGCAAUUGUGAAAGAUUAUAUGAUAGUUGAGUAUGUGGACUUGCUGAAAAGCUCUUAUACAUUGACUAUUUCCUAUGUUAUGAUAAACUGCAAUUGCUUCAAUGACCGAGAUUGUAGUUUGUUAGUUUUCAAUGAAGUUUACGAUUCAUACUUGAUAUUGUGAUUGAAUUACUCUAGCAUUAGAGAUCAUAUGACAAAAAUUAUAUAAGUUGCUGUUAUAAGAAUGAUCAUGAUGCCCUCAUGUCCGUAUUUUAUUUUUAUCGACACCUUCAUCUCUAAACAUGUGGACAUAUUUUUCGAUUUCGACUUUUCUCUUGAGGACAAGCGAGGUCUAAGCUUGGGGGAGUUGAUACGUCCAUUUUGCAUCAUGCUUUUAUAUCGAUAUUUAUUGCAUUAUGGGCUGUUAUUUCACAUUAUGUCACAACACUUAUGGCUUUUCUCUCUUAUUUUACAAGGUUUACAUAAGGAGGGAGAAUACCGGCAACUGGAAUUCUGGGCUGGAAAAUGAGCAAAUAUUAGAGACCUAUUCUGCACAACUCCAAAAGUCCUGAAACUCCACGGAACACCUUAUAAUAAAUAAUGAAAAAUCCUCGCCAAAGAUGAAGACCAUGGGGCCCACACCCUUCUCACGAGGGUGGGGGCGCCCCCCCCUAAGGCGCGCCCCCCUGCCUCGUGGGCCCCCUGGUGGCUCUCCGAUGACCAUCUUCUCCUAUAUGAAGUCUUUCGUCGAGAAAAAAAAUAAGAAGCAACCUUUCGGGACGAAACUCCGUCGCCACGAGGCGGAACCUUGGCGGAUCCAAUCUAGAGCUCUGGCAGAGUUGUUCUGCCGGGGAAACUUCCCUCCCAGAGGGGGAAUCAUCGCCAUCGUCAUCACCAACGCUCCUCUCAUCCGGAGAGGGCAAUCUCCAUCAACAUCUUCAUCAGCACCAUCUCAUCUCAAAACCCUAGUUCAUCUCUUGUAUCCAAUUCUUGUCUUCAAGUCCGGGAUUGGUGCUAGUAGGUUGCUAGUAGUGUUAAUUACUCCUUGUAGUUGAUGCUAGUUGGUUUAAUUGGUGGAAGAUCAUAUGUUCAGAUCCUUUAUGCAUAUUAAUACCACUCUGAUUAUGAACAUGAAUAUGCUUUGUGAGUAGUUAUGUUUGUUCCUGAGGACAAGGGAGAAGUCUUGCUAUUAGUACUCAUGUGAAUUUGGUAUUCGUUCGAUAUUUUGAUGAGAUGUAUGUUGUCUAGCCUCUAGUGGUGUUAUGUGAACAUCGACUACAUAACACUUCACCAUUAUUUGGGCCUAUAGGAAGGCAUUGGGAAGUAAUAAGUAGAUGAUGGGUUGCUAGAGUGACAGAAGCUUAAACCCUAGUUUAUGCGUUGCUUCAUAAGGGGCUGAUUUGGAUCCACAUGUUUCAUGCUAUGGUUAGGUUUACCUUAAUACUUUUGUUGUAGUUGCGGGUGCUUGCAAUAGAGGUUAAUCAUAAGUGGGAUGCUUGUUCAAGUAAGAACAGCACCCAAGCACCGGUCCACCCACAUAUCAAAUUAUCAAAGUACCGAACGCGAAUCAUAUGAAUGUGAUGAAAACUAGCUUGACGAUAUUCCCAUGUGUCCUCGGGAGCACUUUUCCUUAUAUAAACAUGCUUGUACUUUGCUACAAAAAGGAUUGGGCCACAUUGCUGCACUUUAUUUACUUUGUUACUUGUUGCUCGUUACAAAUUAUCUCAUUACAAAACUAUCUGUUACCACUUAUUUCAGUACUUGCAGAGAAUACCUUGCUGAAAACCGUUUGUCAUUUCCUUCUACACCUCGUUGGGUUCAACACUCUUACUUAUCGAAAGGACUACGAUAGAUCCCCUAUACUUGUGGGUCAUCAAUGUUUUGGUGAUCAACUUGCGGGUUCCGCCCAUGAACCUAUGCAUAGGGGUUGGCACACGUUUUCGUCGUGAUUCUCCGGUAGAAACUUUGGGGCACUCUUUGAGGUUCUAUGUGUUGGUUGAAUAGAUGAAUCUGAGAUUUUGUGAUGCAUAUCGUAUAAUCAUAACCACGGAUACUUGAGGUGACAUUGGAGUAUCUAGGUGACAUUAGGGUUUUGAUUGAUUUGUGUCUUAAGGUGUUAUUCUAGUACGACCUCUAGGGCUGUUUGUGACACUUAUAGGAAUAGCCCAACGAAUUGAUUGGAAAGAAUAACUUUGAGGUGGUUUCGUACCCUACCAUAAUCUCUUUAUUUGUUCUCCGCUAUUAGUGACUUUGGAGUGGCUCUUUGUUGCAUGUUGAGGGAUAGUUAUGUGAUCGAAUUAUGUUAUUAUUGUUGAGAGGACUUGCACUAGUGAAAGUAUGAACCCUAGACCUUGUUUCCUAUCAUUGGAAUACCAUUUAUGCUCACUUUUAUCAUUAGUUACCUUGCUAUUUUUAUAUUUUCAGAUUACAAAAAUCAUUAUCUACUAUCCAUAUACCACUUGUAUCACCAUCUCUUCGCCGAACUAGUGCACCUAUACAAUUUACCAUUGUAUUGGGUGUGUUUGGGACACAAGAGACUCUUUGUUAUUUGGUUGCAGGGUUGCUUGAGAGAGACCAUCUUCAUCCUACGCCUCCUACGGAUUGAUAAACCUUAGGUCAUCCACUUGAGGGAAAUUUGCUACUGUCCUACAAACCUCUGCACUUGGAGGCCCAACAACAUCUACAAGAAGAAGGUUGUGUAGUAGACAUCAAGCUCUUUUCUGGCGCCGUUGCCGGGGAGGUGAGUGCUUGAAGGUAUAUCUUUAGAUCUUGCAAUCGAGUCUUUUAGUUCCUUGUUUUAUCACUAGUUUAGUUUAUAAAAAUAAAAAAUAAAAAAUGGAAUUAAGUUUGCCUCAUACGCUUUAUCUUUUUAAUACCUAUCGUGAGAAUAAGGAUUACGAUAAUUGUGCUCAAGUGCUAGAAGAAGAAUGCAUUAGAAUGUUUGGCACUAAAUAUUUGAAUGAUGAGCAUGAUUGCGAUGAAUUCCUUGAAUAUCCAUGAUACUAAUGAUAUGCAAAGCCACAAGCUUGGGGAAGCUAUGCUUGAUGAGUAUGAUAUUUUUUGUCCCCCAAGUUUUGAUGAGUGAUACGUCUCCAACGUAUCUACUUUUCUAAACACUUUUGCCCUUGUUUUGGACUCUAAAUUGCAUGAUUUGAAUGGAACUAACCCGGACUAACGCUGUUUUUAGCAGAAUUACCAUGGUGUUAUUUAUGUGCAGGAGCAAACGUUCUCGGAAUGACCUGAAACUUUAUGGAGACACUUUUCAGAAAAUAAGAAAAAUACCUGCCAAAGAUGAAGGCCAGGGGGGUCACCACCUUGCCACGAGGGUGGGGGGCACGCCCCCCUACCUCGUGGGCCCCCUGUUGCCUCUCCGACUCCAACUCCACCUCCAUAUAUUGAGUUUCGGGGAUAAAAAAAUUAGAGAGAAGAAAUCAUCGUGUUUUACGAUACGGAGCCGCCGCCAAGCCCUAAAACCUCUCGGGAGGGCUGGUCUGGAGUCCGUUCGGGGCUCCGGAAAGGGGAAUCCGUCGCCAUAGUCAUCACCAACCAUCCUCUAUCACCAAUUUCAUGAUGCUCACCGCCGUGCGUGAGUAAUUACAUCGUAGGCUUGCUGGACGGUGAUGGGUUGGAUGGGAUCUAUCAUGUAAUCGAGUUAGUUUUGUUAGGGUUUGAUCCCUAGUGUCCACUAUGUUCUGAGAUUUAUGUUGCUAUGACUUUGCUAUGCUUAAUGCUUGUCACUAGGGCCCGAGUGCCAUGAUUUCAGAUCUGAACCUAUUAUGUUUUCAUCAAUAUAUGAGUGUUCUUGAUCCUAUCUUGCAAGUCUAUAGUCACCUAUUAUGUGUUAUGAUCAGUUAACCCCGAAGUGACAAUAAUCGGGAUACUUACCGGUGAUGACCGUAGUUUGAGGAGUUCAUGUAUUCACUAUGUGUUAAUGCUUUGUUCCGGUUCUCUAUUAAAAGGAGGCCUUAAUAUCCCUUGGUUUCCGUAAGGACCCCGCUGCCACGGGAGGGUAGGACAAAAGAUGCCAUGCAAGUUCUUUUCCAUAAGCACGUAUGACUAUAUUCAGAAUACAUACCUACAUUAUAUCAAUGAACUAGAGCUAGCUCUGUGUCACCCUAGGUUAUGACUGUUACAUGAUGAACCGCAUCCGGCAUAAUUCUCCAUCACCGAUCCAUUGCCUACGAGCUUUCCACAUAUUGUUCUUCGCUUAUUUACUUUCCCGUUGCUAUUGCUAUCAUCACUAUAAAAUACCAAAAACAUUACUUUUACUAUUGUUACUUUUUGCUACAGUUAUCACCACUAUCAUAUUACUUUGCUACCUUUGCUGCAGAUAUUAAGUUUCCAGGUGUGGUUGAAUUGACAACUCAGCUGCUAAUACCCGAGAAUAUUCUUUGGCUCCCCUUGUGUCGAAUCAAUAAAUUUGGGUUGAAUACUCUACCCUCGAAAACUGUUGCGAUCCCCUAUACUUGUGGGUUAUCAAUGAGUAAAUUUAUUAUGAUGAUAGCAUGCCUCCUAUUUAUGAUGAUUAUAUUGAUGAAAGUGGAUUUGGAGAGGUCAUGACUUUAUUUUGUGAUGAAUCCAUUAUUCCGGAAGAGGUUCCAAUUGAUUAUGAGAACAAAGUUGCUAUCUAUGAUGAUUAUUGUGAUGACUUGUAUGCUAUAAAGAAUAAUGAUAUCCAUAAAACUUGUCAUCAUGAUUUUAGUUUUCAAUUGGAUUAUGCCUCACACGAUAAUUAUUUUGUUGAGUUUGCUCCCACUACUAUUCAUAAGAAGAAUUUUGCUUAUGUGGAGAGUAAUAAAAUUUCUAUGCUUGUAGAUCAUGAAAAGAAUGCUUUAUGUGAUGGUUAUAUUGUUGAAUUCAUUUAUGAUGCUACUGAAAAUUAUUAUGAGGGAGGAAUAUAUGCUUGUAGGAAUUGUAAUAAUAUCAAGUUUCCUCUCUAUGUACUUAAAGUUUUGAAGUUAUGCUUGUUUCACCUUCCUAUGCAAGUUGAUUCUUGUUCCCACAAGUUGUUUGCUCACAAAAUCCUUAUGCAUAGGAAGUGGGUUAGACUUAAAUGUGCUAGUCAUAUUCUUCAUGAUGCUAUCUUAUGUUUCAAUUCUUAUAUUUUAUGUGAGCAUCAUUGAAAUCAUCAUGCCUAGCUAGGGGCGUUAAACGAUAGCGCUUGUUGGGAGGCAACCCAAUUUCAUUCCAGUUCUUUACUUUUUGCUCCUGUUUAGUAAUAAAUAAUUCAUCUAGACUCUGUUUAGAUGUGGUUUUAUGUUUUAAUUAGUGUUUGUGCCAAGUAGAACCGUUGGGAAGACUUGGGUGAAGUCUUUGCGAUCAUGCUGUAAAAAACCGAAACUUUAGCGCUCACGAGAAUUGCUCCCAUUUUUAUUUGGAGAGUGCUAUUUAGUUAAUUAUUUUUGCAGAUGAUUAAUAGAUAAAUUCCUCACCUCCAGAAAUUUAUUUGAGAAUUUUAUGAGUUCCAGAAGUAUACGUUUGAUCCAGAUUACUACAGACUGUUCUGUUUUUGACAGAUUCUGUUUUCAUUGUGUUGUUUGCUUAUUUUGAUGAAUCUAUGAGUAGUAUCGGAGGGUAUGAACCAUAGAGAAGUUGGAAUACAGUAGAUAUUACACCAAUAUGAAUUUAGAAUGAGUCCAUUACAGUACCUUAUGAUGGUGAUUUUCUUUCUUAUACUAACGGAGCUUACGAGUUUUCUGUUAAGUUUUGUGUUGUGAAGUUUUCAAGUUUUGGGUAAAGAUUUGAUGGACUAUGGAAUAAGAAGUGGCAAGAGCCUAAGCUUGGGGAUGCCCAGGAAGGCAUCUCCUCUUUCGUCUUCGUUCAUCGGUAACUUUACUUGGAGCUAUAUUUUUAUUCGCCACAUGAUAUGUGUUUUGCUUCGAGCAUCAUUUUAUUUUAUUUAGUUUUGCUUGUUGUUUGAAUAAAAUACCAAGAUCUGAAAUUCUUAAAUUGUUAGAGAGUCUUCACAUAGUUGCAUAAUCAUUCAACUACUCAUUGAGCUUCACUUAUAUCUUUCGGAGUAGUUUGUUGUUGCUCUAGUGAUUCACUUAUAUCUUUUUAGAGCACGGUGGUGGUUUUAUUUUAUAGAAAUAGAUGAACUCUCAUGCUUCACUUAUAUUAUUUUGAGAGUCCUAAACAGCAUGGUAAUUUGCUUUGGUUAUGAAUUUAGUCCUAAUAUGAUGGGCAUCCAAGAGGGAUAUAAUAAAAACUUUCAUAUAAAGUGCAUUAUAUACUAUGAGAAGUUUGAUACUUGAUGAUUGUUUUGAGAUAUGAGGAUGGUAAUAUUAGAGUCGUGCUAGUUGAGUAGUUGUGAAUUUGAGAAAUGCUUGUGUUGAAGUUUGUGAUUCCCGUAGCAUGCACGUAUGGUGAACAGUUAUGUGAUGAAGUCGGAGCAUGAUUUAUUUAUUGAUUGUCUUCCUUAUGAGUGGUGGUCGGGGACGUGCGAUGGUCUUUUCCUACCAAUCUAUCCCCCUAGGAGCAUGCGCUAGUACUUUGUUUCGAUAACUAAUAGAAUUUUGCAAUAAGUAUGUGAGUUCUUUAUGACUAAUGUUGAGUCCAUGGAUUAUACGCACUCUCACACUUCCACCAUUGCUAGCCUCUCUAGUACCGCGCAACUUUCGCCGGUACCAUAAACCCACAAUUUACCUUCCUCAAAACAGCCACCAUACCUACCUAUUACGGCAUUUCCAUAGCCAUUCCGAGAUAUAUUGCCAUGCAACUUUCCACUGUUCCAUUUAUUAUGACAUGCUUCAUCAUUGUCAUAUUGCUUUGCAUUAUCAUGUAGUUGACAUCGUAUUUGUGGCAAAGCCACCGUUCAUAAUUCUUUCAUACAUGUCACUCAUGAGUCAUUGCACAUCCCGGUACACCGCCGGAGGCAUUCAUAUAGAGUCAUAUUUUGUUCUAAGUAUCGAGUUGUAAUUCUUGAGUUGUAAGUAAAUAAAAGUGUGAUGAUCAUCAUUAUUAGAGCAUUGUCCCAAUGAGGAAAGGAUGAUGGAGACUAUGAUUCCCCCACAAGUCGGGAUGAGACUCCGGACAAAAUAAAAAUAAAAAAAGGCCAAAGAAGCCCAAAUAAAAAAAGAGAAAAAAAGAGGCCAUAAAAAAAGAGAGAAAGGCCCAAAUAAAAAAUAAAAUAAAAUAAAAAAUGAGAGAAAAAGAGAGAAGGGGCAAUGCUACUAUCCUUUUACCACACUUGUGCUUCAAAGUAGCACCAUGAUCUUUAUGAUAGAGAGUCUCCUAUGUUGUCACUUUCAUAUACUAGUGAGAAUCUUUCAUUAUAGAACUUGGCUUGUAUAUUCCAAUGAUGGGCUUCCUCAAAAUGCCCUAGGUCUUCGUUAGCAAGCGAGUUGGAUGCAUACCCACUAGUUUCUUUUGUUGAGCUUUCAUACAUUUAUAGCUCUAGUGCAUCCGUUGCAUGGCAAUCCCUACUCACUCACAUUGAUAUCUAUUAAUGGGCAUCUCCAUAGCCCAUUGAUACGCCUAGUUGAUGUGAGACUAUCUUCUCCUUUUUGUCUUCUCCACAACCACCAUUCCAUUCCACCUAUAGUGCUAUGUCCAUGGCUCACGCUCAUGUAUUGCAUGAAGAUUGAAAAAGUUUGAGAACAUCAAAAGUAUGAAACAAUUGCUUGGAGUACUUGGAGGACGACUCUACUACUUUACAAAAAAAAACCUCGGGGGCUCCCACGACCGCCAAGGCGAUCUGGCGGCGAUGACAGGUGAGACGACGGCCUCGACACCGGCAAAUCCGUUGGUGCAGAGGCGAUUGAUUCCUGGAGGGGGGCACGAGCUGGUUCUCUUCAGCGGGAGGGAGUGAGAGCAAAUCAAGGAAAGAUCGAGGCGGAUCUUUCGGGGAGCGACAGAUCGGGACCAAGUCUUGAUCCGGUCGAGAAAAAGAGCGAAGGAGAUAGCUGAUUUGUUGGCAGGUGAGAUUUCGUCGAGAUCAGGGGAGGUGAUUAGGAGAGGAGCGACCGCGCCCCUCGCGGGAUCGGAAGAGUGUAUCUCGCAGGGGGUGGGCGUGGUUUCCCCCGGUUCUUUAGAGAUAGUUUCAGUAGAUAAGGCUAGUUAUUUAUUCCUUCAGGAUUGUAGAAUUAGAUUGCAGCCGGGAUUGAAGGUUGUUUCAAUUUUGUUUCCUGCCUUUGGGGAUUCAUUUGAGGGAAAGGGAGGAAUUCUUGGAGCAGUUAUUAGGAAACUGCUCAUUCAUGGUUGUUUAUUCACUUUUAAUUACAUCAAUUUCGUUCCUGAGAUUGUUUGGGAAGGAUUUGUUGCUUGCUAUAUCUGGGGACUCGGGAGCGGCUGUCAUCCAUCUUCUCUUGAUCCCAAGCACACCCAUCUUCUCUCUGCACAGUCCACCUCUUGCCGUGAACUAGCCUAUACUAUGGCGGGACAGGGAGAGCUUGUGAGCAGUGAGGUGGGGAAGAAACCUGUGACUGUGGUGGGUUCCGGGGGGACGACGGCUGCAUCGACGGGUACUUGCUCCCAGCCGGCGCUCGACCAUGUUGGCUCCUCCUCCCACCUAGUGCCGCAUGUCCAGCCGAGUUCGAUGAUCCUGGGGCGUGGCCAGGGAGAGGGUCGUCCUCUCGUCAUUGACUUGGAGGCUG